UUUUUUUUUUUUUUGCUCCGAAUUGUUCUAGUAUCCCCAAAUAUUUCCCCCCUCCACCCUCAUUAUGAAUAACCAAGAAUCUUCUCAUUCACGUUUUUGUUGUUGAGCUCACUUUUCUUCCAAGGUGAUAGCUGACUUCCAAAAGUUGAUUUCUUGCCCUAACGCUGCUUCGUACUUAGUAAGUACUUCUUUUCUUGUCUUACACGACUUAUCAUUUGCCAAAGUAAAAAAGAACGCGUCAUCAGAAAAGAGAAGAUGACUUACUGCUGCAGAACUUUGGUUGCUGAUCUUCAUGCCUUGUAGUUUCCAAUAUGUUACAAAACGAUUCAUCAAAUGAGAGGGUACUUCAGCGCAUAGAAUAAAAAGGUAUGGAGAUAAAGGGUAUCCUCUCCGAAUUUGUCUUUCUGGUUUUAUUAACCCUUUCGGCACACCAUUGACCAAGAACGAGUAGCUAACUGUUGUAACACACUUCAUAAUCCAUCCAAUCCAUUUAUGAUCAAACCCAUUUGCUUCAUUGUAUCUUCCAGGAAACUCCAUUCUAGACGAUCAUACGAUAUCGUAACAUCUGUUUUAAUGGCCAUAUAAAAUUUUGCCUGGCGGGUUCUGACUUUGAGAGCAUGGAAAACCUCAUGAGCAAUAAUUACAUUGGCUGUAAUCAUUAUGCCCGGGAUAAAAGCAGCUUGAUUUUCCGAUAUGAUGCCAUUGAGGUGUUGAUUCAAUUUGUUUACCAAAAUUUUAGAAAUGAUUUUAUAGCUGAUGUUGCAUAACGCAAUUGGCUUAAACUCCAUCAUCAUUGUAGGUGAUUAUGUCUUUGGGAUGAGACAAAGAUUGGUGUGGUUAGGGUUUUUGUCUAGAAAACCUUCGUCAAAAAAACUUCUAACUUCUCAAAUCACCGCAAGGCUUAUAUCCUGCCAAAUAUGAUGAUAGAAUUUUCCAUUAAAUCCAUCAGGACCUGGUGCUCGAGUCGGACCAAUUGAGAAAAUCGAGUUCUUGAUUUCAUCAUCACUAACAACUCUGGUCAGGUCCUCAUUCGUCUAACUUGAGACUCUGCCCUGAUAGCUACUUCAGCAACUUCUACAUCACCUAGUUUUUAAUUCCCAGUUGCAUCUUCAAUCGACAUGAUUUUGUUCUUUGCUCUUCUGAUUUUUGUGACUGAGUGAAAGUACUUUGUAUUUCUAUCUCCCACUUUCAGCCAUGUAUUUUUGCUUUUAGAUUUCCAAAAAAUCUCCUCUUCUAUUUAGCCCGUGUUGAGGUCUCUUUUUAUUCUGUUCUUUUCUACAAUGGAAAACGUGCCAAAGGAGGAGCUGAUGACGUAGUCAUGAUAUGCGUUCUUCAGCGUUAGCCUUGUUUCUCCGCUUCCAUUGUGAAAUGUAUUUCCUACAAGUUGCUAUUCUUUUGCUAGUGGUACCACUGAAUCUGUUCUUCUUUCUUCUGUAUUCCAGCCCUUAAGAACUGAAUCCUGAAAUCCUUCUUUGUUAAACAUACGGCUUUCAUAGGAAAAUGAUCCUCUUCUCUCUUCAACAAAACCAGAUAUAUGAGUAACUAAAGGCCUAUGGUCAGAUUCUCCCAUCUCUAAAAAUUCUGUUUCUGAAGAAGGAAAUAGAGCUCGCCAUUCACUGUUUGCCAUAUUUCUAUCAAGGCAGCAAGAUACAAGAAUGGUUACCCCUUUGUCCAGCCCACAAAAAUCGAUUACCAACUGCCUUUAAGUCCAUUAAAUCGCACGUUCUAACCAUUCUUCUAAUCUUACGAAAGGAUCUCUCUGGUCUUAGAGGACCUCCUUGUUUUUCAUCAUUACCAAGUAAUUCAUUGAAAUCUCUAACGAUAAUCCAAGGGCCUCUUCUAUUACUUGUAGUUCUUUCUAAUGAUUCCCAUAACUCAUUACGGUAACUCGGAUUGGGAUGCCCAUACACAAAAGAGAAAUAGAAACCACUUCCAUUGCAUUUGACAUAACAAUCUACAAGAUUUGCGGAAUGAAAAUAAACACAUAUAUCUACAGACUACUUCCAAGAUUUGCAUAAUUUUUUAUUUAUUUUAUAAAUCGUUAAAAUAUUUAAUUUAUUUAAAACUAAAAAUAUAUUUUACGGUUGCAUUUUAUAGAAAGUUGCGAUCCGAAUAAAUGUCUUAUACUGUUGUGUUUUUUUUUUCCGUAACUUAUUGUAAACUUAGUUGAACCAUUGCAAUAUUUAGUUUAUUUCACGAACAAAUGCAACUCUUGGUUUAUUUUAUAAACCGAUAUAACAUUUAAUUAUCUACUGUCACGUCAUUCGGUGUAACUUUUUAUAAACCAUUAUUUCAAUUUUAGUAACUAAAAUGUAUUUAAAUAAAAUUGUAACCGUUUAAUUGAACCGUUGCAAAUUUAGUUUAUUUGACAUAUUAUUACAACUUUUGGUUUUGUUUUAUGAACCGUUGUAAUCUUUAGCUUUUUUGACGAACCGUUGCAACAUUUGGUAUAUAUGAUAUCUACGGUCGUGUCUUUCGGUUAUAGUUCUUCAUCAAAUUUUUAAUUUUGAUUAAUAUUUAAAUGAAUAUGUUGCUACCGUUUAAUAAAACAUAGUAACAUUUGGUUUAUUUGACGAACCAAUGAAGAUUUUGGCUUAUCUGAUGAACCGUUGUAACCUUAGUUUAUUUGAUGAACUGUUACAAUAUUUAAUAUAUUUAAUGAACCAUUGCAACUUUAGUUUAUUUGAUGAAUUAUUACAACUUUAGGUAUAUUUAAUGAACCGUUGCAACUUUGCCUUUUGUAAUACAUUUUUUAGAGCAUUAACUAAAGCUUUUUUUUUUGAACAAAUACAUAUCCAACAUUUAAACAAGGUUACUACAUCUUCAUCUAUAAUACUAUCAUGGUGAUUUCAGACCACUAUUUAACCUACCGCUUUUUUUUAUUUUAUUUCAAACGACUAUUUGGCAUACCGUUUUUUGUUAUUUUGAGCUGUUAAUCUUGUGAUGCAACCUUAACAUCGUCUUGUUAAAUAAAAAUGUAAUGUACAUUAAAUUUGUUGUUUCCACCAAUUGUUUGGGUCAAAAACAUUUGAUUUAAAUGAUAAAUUCUCAAACGUGUUUUUCUAUUUGAUUAUGUUAUAUAUCUGUAGUUCCAUUUAAGAUAUAUGUAAGAUAAUUGUACAUAUCACUAUUUUUUGUUUACAACUUACAUAUCAGUUUAUGUAUAUUUUGUUAUACAACUCAUGAAUAAUAUAAUUAUUAUUAUUUUUAAUUUUUUAAAAGAUAGAUUAUAACGGUUUUGAAGUUUUAAGAUUUUUUUCUAUAGGUUUACAAAAAAGUGUGACUCUUUCAAUGUCUUUGACUUCAAUUAAAAUUUUUAAGUUGGGUUUAGUAAAUUUUCUUAAGUGAACAUUUAAUAAUAACGAAAAACUCUUUGUAGUAUAUUGCUCUUACAAAUUAAUGUUUCACUUUAAAUUUUAUUUUUCUCUUUACUGUUUUAGAAACACAGUUACAUAAAUCUUUUUCUACACAACCAUGCAUUUAAAUUUUACUUUCAUACUAAAAUUCAUUAACACAUUCAAAAAUUAGAAGUAUGAUCAUUUUUAAUUUCUUUAUGUUUUUAAUGUCUGGAUAUAUUAAUUUUCUUUAUGUUAAAAUUUGAAUUAUAUUUUUAUGAGUAAUAAUAUUUUCAUAGUAUUAUUUUGACUAUUUUGAAAUUUCAUUUAUUUUAUUUAAUUUGUUUGUAUUUAAUUAGAAUUUAUGUUAAUUAUAAUUAACACCAAUAUAAAUAAUAUAUGGAUUAAAAUAAACAUUGAAAUUAGACUUUAAUGUAAAAAUAAAACAUUCCUAUUAUAUAAAAGUUGAAUUAUAUUAUGUCUACUUAUAAAACAUUUCUAGUAAUACUCUCACUAUUUUAAAUUUUCAUUUAUUUUAUUUAUUUAACUAAAAUUUCUAUUAAUUUAUAAUUAACAUCAAUAUAAAUAAAUAUGAAUUAAAUGAACAUUGUAAUUAGACAUUAAUAUAAAAAUAAAUAUUUUUAACUAAUGACAUGGCUUUUUUCAAUUGGAUGUUUAACAUGAUGAUGUGGACACCUUAAGAGGAGAGAAAACUCUCUCAUUAUAUAUAUAGACUAGGUUUUGAACUCAUUAUUUGAUAUAUUUUAGUACAAAUUAUAUACGAUUGAUGAUAGUUUUUAAAUUACUAGUUAAGCAAAAUUUUCAUUUCAAAUGCACAAUUACAAAAAUUAUAAAAAUCAAUAGUGUUUAAGAGUAAAAUCUCAUCAAAAGAAUCAUGAAUCAAUCUUGUUUUCUCAUAUUCAAUUGGCCGCCAGCACCUAUGUCUUCGUAUUUCUCUUCACAUUCAUCGUUUCUUACUCUUCAUAUUCUUUCUCAUCAUCUUCAUUAUCAAUUUUUUCUGGCUGUUGUCAUCAUUACUUUUUGCUUCUUCAUUAUACUCUUCCUCUUUCUCUUUACUUUCCUCACUUUCUUCCUCACCCUCUCGAUCUUCUUAUAUGUAAAACAUUCGUUAUUAUGUGGUUAAAAAAUAGAGCAAAAAAUUAAACUUACUAAUAUUAACUAAACAUAUCUCCAAAAGCCUAUGAAUUAACUACCCAAAACAAUAUCGUUCGUUUGACCUUUUGAACUCGAGAUUUGAUGCUUUUCUACGAAAGCUUAGUUCCAUGUCUCCAGAAUACUCCUACCAAAUUUUGAUUUAUUUCGAGUAUGUUUGGAUGUUCAUGUCUCCACUUUACUGGUCAGAUCUGAAACUUUAAAAGAAAUCUUCUCGAACAUGUUGUAAAAGCUUUCUUCUAAAAGUUCGUUUAAAUCUAUAUCCCACCAUUAAACCUCAAGAAACUAAUAACAGAAACCUCGCCAUCAAGUUUCAGCUACAUAUGAACCAAACAUUACCAUAAAGAGGUCAUGUAAAAACUGUUUUCUCACUUUUCUUUUCCAUAUAUGAUAAUCCAAGUUUGUCUUAUGGUAUCACAAUCAUACCUCUUCUCACGACAAUGGUUUUCUCCAUCUAUCUAUCUAUCGCUCUCUCGCUUGUCGCCAAUCUAUCCGCGUUUCUCUUUUUCUCUUUCAUUUUUAACACGGAAAACUACCCUCUUUGUUACCCAGAUUAUGCCGUCAAUUGUUUAUAAUGCAAAGAAACUCUCAUCAAUUAAAUUUAUUACCUUUUUCACGUGUCGUCAAUUCCAUUUUCUGAUUCCAUUUUCUGAUUGAAAUUGGUACUCCAAGAAGAAUAACCUUUUCCACAAGUCUUUAUACCUUUUGUCUGGUUAGAUAUCUUCCAACUGAAGUAUAUACAACUUAAGUUAAAAGAACAUAAUUACGCAACAAGUUACCUCAUUAGUCAUAGUUGCAUCCACUUGCAUUUUAAAGUAAAUAAUUUUCACUAUAUUGGUUUGGACAUCUUUCUCAAGAGAGCUUCCUUGCAUGGUCUUACAUAUAUGUUCCUCAACUUCCACCACCACCACCACUUUAGAUUUAUUGCCCAUGAAACUUUUCGGGCACAAGCAAUUGAUGUUGAAUUCGUUAGAAUCACUAAAUAACCAAUCAAAAUAAUUUGUUUUAGAGUAACACAACUUGUUUCCCAGCGAACCUCCUGCAACAUCCAAGACCAGAAUCAUUAUCUAUUUUCUCAUAAGAUUUCUGCUAUUAAACCAGCAUAACCACCACAUGUACUCAAUUAUUGAUACUGGAUUUAAGAUCCACACGUAUUUAAACUUUUCAAACAAAAAUCCUUAAUUGUACAAAAUUGCAAAUUACUUGCGGAGGAAGUAACAUGAACUUGGCCACAUGUAUAGCUAAUAAAACAUGUGUGCUUGUCAUUGAUCCUUCUUCUUUAAACCAAAAAUUUAACUCAAACAAUCAAAUCAAGGUCUUAUGAUUCAUAACCGAUAUGAAAGAGCACAAACAUCGACCAUUGAUGCUUGUCAUUGAUCCUUCUUCUUCAGACCCAAAACUUUUACGCAAACAACAUCAAAUCAUACACAAACACAUGUUUUACGGCUCAUCGAAGAUAUAAAACAGAAACAGCCUGACGGAGAGAUAAAAAUGCCCGCACUGGCAAAAAGCGAUGAAAAAAAUAAAAACAGGCGCCAUUAAAAGUAGUUACCAACUGUAACACCCCGUUUCAGAAAUAUUGUGGUGCAUACGGAGAGGUGACACCUCGGUCAGCUUUGUCACCAAAGUGCACUUAUCUUUUCGGUCAAACGUCUUGAGAGAAUUCCAUAGUUAAGGGUGCUUGAGCUGGAGCAAUUUCAGGAUGGGUGACCUUCCGGAAAGUGAUUGUCGGAACUGUGUGACUAAAGACAAAACACACAGAAGAUCAUGUGGUGAUUUGUAGGGUCGGUAAACAAGACUUUAAAGCCUCCCGGACGUAGCGGACCGGCUGUCGAACAUGGAUGGGCCCAUGGGCCCGAGAGAGGACGUGAGGCCCACUGGUAGGAACGGUCGGAGCGUUACAAGUGGUAUCAGAGCCGAACCUAGGUGAGUGUGAAGUCAAGAAGGCUCACACCGUUGGGGUGACGGUCUUGGUGCGCAACGAGGACGUUGCGAUCUAUUAGUGGGGUGAAUUGUAACACCCCGGUUUCAGAAAUAUGAUGGUGCAUGCGGAGAGGUUUAAAAGAAUUGAUUUGGCCACCUAUGUCACCAAAGUGCACUUAUCUUUUCGGUCAAACGUUUUGAGAGAACUUCAUAGUUAAGGGUGCUUGAGCUGGAGCAAUUUCAGGAUGGGUGACCUUCCAGAAAGUAAUUGCCGAAACUGUGUGAGUGAGGACAAAAGUGAGGACAAAACACAGGGAAAGAUCAUGUGGUGAUUUGUAGGGUCGGUAAACAAGUCUUUAAAGCCUCCCGGACAUAGCGGACCGGCCGUCGGACAGGGAUGGGCCCAUGGGCCUAACGGAAGACGUGAGGCCCACUAGUAGGGGCGGUCGGGGCGUUACACCAACCCUAAUUCUUACGGACGGUUUAAAAUUUAUAGUUUAAAUUAUGAUCAAAUUAGAUACCUCCGAUUAUUAUUUAUAUGAUCCUAAGUUAAUCGAAUAUGUUUUUUUGUUAAUAUUUGUUUUUGGAAAAUUAGAAGACUAACAAAAUAAGAAUAUAAAAUUAAUGUAUUCCAUAUAAUGUUUUUUAAAAGUUUACAUUUCUAUUCUUUACAAAUAUAAUUUUUUUUCUUUUUUCAUAAAUAUCUUAAUAUAUAAAAUAUUAAAAUUUUGAAAUAUUAAUUAACGUAAUGUCAAAAAUUGUUAACUAAUGUCAAAAAAUAUUUACAUUUUUUAUUAUUUUUAUUUUAUGUAUUUGAUAACAAAAUUUAUAUUCAGAAUUGUUUCAUAUUUUAGAUAUUUCAUUUAUAAAUUUAAUAAUUUUUUAAAAAUUAAAACUUUACCUUUGAUUAUUUAUAUUAUGUUUUUCAAUAACACAAAAUUAUAAUUAGAAAUAUUUAUAUAUUUUCAAAUAUUUCACUUAUUGUUUUUUUUUUCUUUUUACUAAACUUUAAAAUAGAAAAUUAUCAGAAUCAAAAUAUGUUAAUUAAUGAGAUGACUAACCGCAUUGAUGGUUUAAAAUUUCACGUGGACAGCUUCAGAAAGCUUAUAGCCUCGACUUUUAUAUAGUAUAGAUUAUCUUGUCACCAUGUUUUAUUCGUGCUUUUCAUCACAAACACAUAUUUCCAAUAAUUGUAUCUUUUACAAAUAAUUUUUUCCAUUCAAACUUUCAUGUCUUUAUAUAUAUAUAUAUAUUAAAAAAGCAAAAGUGGUGUAAAUUUAUUAUUUAUUUUUGUUUGAUAUUUUUAUAGAAAGUUAAUUUUUUUGCUAAGUAGCAUUCAUGUAUAUACUUUGCUAUCUAUAUCAUUAUUUUUUUUUCUAAAUAACUAUCUAUUUUGGUUAUUUGUUAAAAUUUUCCGAAGAAUUUUUUUAUUUUUAACAUAAUACAAUGUAAAAUAUUGCGUCUUUUUAUCGUAUUUUGAUGAAUAUAUUUAUAAUAGUUUAGAAAUUUGAAAAAUUGCAUCUACUCAUUAUAACUUUUUGUUAAAAUUUGUUUAUUUAUGAUCACAUCUUUUCACUAUAAUAUGUUUUAAUAAUAAUACAAAUCUUAAAAAUUCUUUUUGAGGGUUUACGUCUCUUCAUCAUAUUUUUUUGUACAAUAUAUCUUUAUUGAUUAUUAAAAGAGAAAUUGUUAAAAAUGCCCCUUUUUCAAUACCCCUUUUCAAAAAUGCCCCCUUUGAGAGUCCAUUUUUAAGUUUGCCCUCUUUUAAUUUUUAAUGACUAUUUUACCCUUAUUUGAAACAAAAUUAGGUCCACAAAAUACAAAAUAUUUUUUGGCGGGAAAAGUGAUCCCGCAAUUUUCCCGCCAAAACACUUGUAAAAACCUUGAAAAAACCUUGUAAAAUUUUCGCGGAAAAAUUUUUCCCGCCAAAAAAUUUUCCCGCCAAAAAAUUUUUUUUGCGGGAAAAGUGAUUCCGCAAUUUUUUUUGCGAAAUUUUUUUGGCGGGAAAAUUUUUGGCGGGAAAAAUUUUCAAGGUAUUUUAAAGGUUUUUUACAAGGUAUUAACAAGUGUUUUGUAAGGUUUUGCAAUGUAUUUUCUACGAUUUUUCAUGGUGCUCAUAAGGUUUUUUAAGGUUAAAAAGGAGAAAUUGUUAAAAAAGCCCCUUUGUCAAUACCCCUUUUCAAAAAAGCCCCAUAAAAUAGCUUGUAAAAUCUUAUAAUAUCUUAUAAAUACCUUGUAAAUACGUUGUAAAACCUUUUAAAAUACAUUGUAAAACCUUAUAAAUACCUUGUAAAAAACCUUUAAAAUACCUUGUAAAUUUUUGGCGGGAAAAAUUUUCCCGCCAAAAAUUUAACGCCAAAAAAAUUGCGGAAUCACUUUUCCCGCAAAAAAAAUUUUUUGGCGGGAAAAAAUUUUACGUGAAAAUUUUACAAGGUAUUUUAAAGGUUUUACAAAUUUUUACAAGUGUUUUGGCGGGAAAAAUUGGGGGAUCACUUUUCCCGCCAAAAAAUAUUUUGUAUUUUGUGGACCUAAUUUUGUUAUAUUUCCUUAUAUAUUUAUGAUAUCUUUUAUUAAAAGAAGGGUAAUUUAGUCAUUUUGUACAUAAAAGGGGUAUUUUUAAAAAUGAACAUCCAUAGGGGGCAUUUUUGAAAAGGGAUAUUGAAAAAGGGGCAUUUUUGUGAGUCUCCCUUAUUAAAAAGAAUUGUUUUGAAACUUGUUGUCUUAAUUCAUUAUGACAUUUCAUUUGAUAUUUUAAAAAAAAAACAUUUUUGAAAUCUUUUCUCCCGCGACAUCGCGGGAGGUCUAAGUCCUAGUAAAUAAACAAACAAUAUGAGAAACGUUUUAGAAUUUUGAAGUCCAAGAGCCUAGUGGGCUUUGUGUGCAUUUUUAUUUUUUCAGCUAACUAGGUCAUUUAUCUGUGACUUCUGAGAUCCGCCGCACUAUACUAUUCCUCUAAUAAUCCUCAUCGAUUUUGUUCUGCUUUUGUGAUGGAGGAAGACGACGUGACACCGCCGACUUUUGCAACCACUUGGCCAACAUUACAUGAUAAUUUGCCCACACCCGAGAAUCCGGACCAGCCCCUACAUUUCUAUCUCGAUCUAGAGUCUGUCAUUCCUCGUGGCGUGGAUCCCUUAAGAUUCCUCGUUAAAUAAAAAAUAAAAUAAAAUGUUGAAAAUAAUUGUGAACUUGACACAUAAGCAUUAAUGACUCUCUUUUAAUAUAUAGAGGAUGUUUACUAUGUUUGAUUAUCUUUAUUUUUGUUUUAUAUUUCUAUUCUAUUUCAAUCUACCCUCUUUUGUUGUUGUCAAACUCACUCUUUCUUGUGAUUUUCUUAUACGAUUAUUUGAACUUGUAUGAAUAUCCAAAAUCUCCCGUUCUACAAUAUUGGUACGAUUCAUGUUCAAUUUUGAUUACAUCGUAUUUAAUUUAAUUUAUAUUAUAAUAAUUGAAAUAAAUCGGAUAUAUAAUCGUACAGGGAUUAUACUAAUCGGUGAGAUUAAGAUUUGAUUUUGAUAAUGAUUGAAUUAAUCUCCGAUUUUGAUCACAUAUUACUCCCUCCGUUUAUAAAUAAGUAUUGUUUAAGGUUUUGACUUUUGACACACAUAUUAAAAAAAAAACAUUACAAUCUUGACUACAUUGUAUUUAAAUGCUAUUCAAAUUAUAAUAUCUAAUGUGAUUUAGAUUAUGAUAUGUAAUGUGAUUAUGAUAUUCAGUGUAAUUAUAAUUUAAUUAUGAUAAUCUACGACGUGUUAAUGAUGACAAAUUUUGUGUCAACAUAUCGGUUUCCAAGUGAAAGAUGAGAAGGUCAAUAACAGUUGUUGCUAGGUAUCCAACAACAUCCACAACAUAAAAAACUUUAAUGGAUAUAUUCACGGUCUCUUUGACAAAGUAUCCCAUCAAAGAAAGUAAAGCUUCCAAGCACUAUGAUAUCUGUAUUGGCUAAGACUGGACAAACAAAAUAAUAUGCUUUUAGACUAUUAAUUUAAUGUAAAACUCAAAUUUUUAAACAUUUUUGCUACAAAACUAAACCAUAAAAAUAUAAUGUUGCGACAAGUAAUAUAUGAAAAACAAUGAUGUUAGAUAUUAUUGAACUGAAAACUUUCAUUGUUUUUUUAUUACAUAAUGUUUAAUCCUUUAAUGUUAUUGAAAUUAUAAAAUUUAAUGCAAUUCAGAUUACGAUAGGUAAUGCGAUUAUGAUAUUCAAUACGAUUCCGACUCAAUUUUAGUAUUCUACAAUCAUGAUAAUGAUGCAUUCAAAUUUGAUUUUGAUUAUGUAUUAUGAUAUUUUGAUUUGAUUCAAAUAUGAUAUAUUGAUAUUACUAGGCCUUGAAUGGCUGUAGAUUUUAAAGCAGUUUUUGGUUUUUGAUUUUGCAUGCAAAAACCAGAAUUAUCCAUUCAUGAUUCUAAUAAAAGUAGAGUUUCUAGAAAAAAAAAAAAAAAGAUUCUAAGAGAUUUUACAUCUACUUUUCUGGAGUCCAAAAACUAAAAUUUAUGGGUUUUAUAAAAAAAAAUUACGUGACAUUUGUUUCUUAAUGUUUUAAACAUAAAAAAAAAACUAAAAUUCAAAAUAGAUAGCAUAAGGAGUAAUAUAAAUUUCUUAAAAUAAUUAUAUAUAUAUAUAUAUAUAUAUAUAAAUUAUCAUUCAAGAUUUUUGCAAAAACUAAAAUGUACACCAAAAACCAAAAAUAAAAAAUCCAAAAAAACAAAAACCAAAAACUAAAAUCCAAUUAAAAACUGCAAAACAUUUAUGACAUAGGUAUUGUUUUCACUGGAUUUGAUUAUGAUGUUUGAUGUGUUAAGUAUCUUUUUCCAUGAUAUUUUAGGACGAAGAAGCGUCAACAAUGUAUUACAAUACUAAGUACAUAAGUCCAGUUUGGAUCCGCAGUUGAGGCUCGAUGCAGUGAUAUGCGGUAGGAAGAAGAGGCUUCACCCAGUUGCCUUCUCGUCUACUGUAAUUCUCUUUUCUAUAUUAUUUCUUCAGAGAUUUCAUCAUUUACCUUGUCGAUAACAAAUUGAUCUGUAAUGUCACCAUUACUGUUUGCUUUCGCUGAAAUUUCUCCUCAUGGAUUUUUUUUUAAAAUGUUUUGCCAAUCUGUCUAUAGACAAAUGAUUCAUUCAAUUUUGUAUUCAUUGCGUCGUAGAUUAAGAUAGUUUCAGCUAUUGCAACCAAAUCGAGACAACUCCAUAUUUUUCUUUUAUUGAGCCAAUAUGAGAUUAAACAUGCUUCAUUUGAAUUCUUCAGCUACUUCUUUGAAUCGUUGGAUUAAUUUUUAUAAAAAAUAUCUUGGAGAAUAGAAUCAACAGCCUAGAUUGCUCAAGCCAAGUCAUUCAUCUGAAACAGUUGCUUUCGACUAUGGGUGAUGUGGAAGAUCAUUGAUUUAGUUCUUCUACUAAUAGUGUUGAUCGGUUGGAUUCAUAGAAUCUUAUUCAUGUUUCUUGUGCAACAAAUUCUUGUAGAUAAGUUUGUUUGGUGUUUCCUACUUUGACCUACACGAUUUAUGUAGGUAAUUUGAUUUUUUUUAUUGGUUUAGGUUUAAAAAUGCAUGAUACCAUUUUUUGGGUAUAAAAAUGCAUUUGGUAAAAUGUUUGGGUUGAUUUUGGCUUCCUUUUUUUUUUUCUAAAAAUAAACAGACUUGAGAAUUGAGACUAAACAACUAAAUCAACUCAAACAAUUUGCUGGAUGCCUUUUUCAACCCAAACAGUGGCACCAUGCAUUUAUUGAAUUUGAACCAAUAAAAUUUUCAAAUUAUCAACCAGAACUAUAUAACCGGUAGCUGAUUUCUACAUUGACUUUAACGGUGCUGAGUCAGACGACAUCGUUGCGACGAUGUAACGACACUGUGGCAACUUAAAGUUGAUGUUGACAUUCACAUGGUUAGUAAACCGUUAAACAUUACUUAGUUCUAAGUCCAAGUGUACGGCACGGUGUCGUCUACCUUAACACCGUUUGACGGUUUACUAAGACCGUGAAGAUCGAUGUAGAAAUCGGCUAACAGUUAUUUGAUUCAGGUUGCUAAUUUGAAAAUUUUGUUGGUUCAGGUUCAUAAAUGCAUGGUAUUGCAAUUUAGUUUGGAAAAGACAUGCAGCCAAUUUUGUUUGGUUUUGAUUUUGGCCACUGUCCCCCACUAUUAAACUCUUCCAAUUCUUUUAUUUUCCCAUAAAACCCCCAAACUCUUUUCUAUCUAUCAAUUUAACCCAAUUUUUAAUUGAGAGCCCAAAAAAGGUGAAGCUUUUAAUCACUUCGAAGAAAAUUUUGCGAUUUGGAGUUUCUUCAAUCUGAAUUCUUCUCUUCGUAGUCUUUGAAUCCUAAAGGAACAAUCUUUUGUGUCAGAGAACGGCUCUAAGAUGACAGAGGACAACGAUGAGCCUAGGGUUUCUCCAAGCAACUCUUCUACAACGAACGAUACUUCUAAAACGAGGCAAAGGUAUCAACUUUCAUUGUUUUAGCCAUUCCAAUUAUCAACCUAAUCACAUCUUUAUCAUCUUCAAUCUGUUACAUUUUCUUGAAAUUGACACCGAGUUUUAACCAUUCGAUUCAUGCCCUUCUCUGAAUUGUUGCUUCAACUACUUUGAUAUUGGUUUUGGAAUCUAUUUUGUGAAUAAAGAUUGUGGCUUUUUUGAUUUUUGGCUCUGAACCUUUUGUUUAGGCUAUGUUCAUCCUUAGCAUCUUUAUUCUAUGAAUUGUGAAUAAAGAUUUUGGCUCUGAACCUUAUGUUUAGGCUAUGUUCAUCUUUAAUUCCUAACCAAUUUGUAUCUUUAGUUGUUAACUGAAUGAGAAUUUUAUGAAUUGGGUGGCAGGAGAAAGAGAAAGUGGGAUCAGCCAGCGGAGCAGCUUGUUGCGGCUGGAGUUGCGUUUCCUCAAUUACUUCCUUUAGGCAACACUAUGAAUGUUCCUUCUAUGUCACCAUUGCUCCCAACGCUUUCUGUGCCUCCACUAGGUCCAAAAGUUAAUCAAGUAUAUAACUCUUACACUCUUGCGGUGUUUGUUAUACUUAUUUUCGGGGUGAACCUCUGACUUAGCUAUUGCAUUAUGCACUAUGGCAUAGAUGAUAUGUCAUGUUUUAAUCUAAUUUGGUAUCUUUAUUAUAUGUUUCUAGUGGAUUGUAGUACCUCCUUAAAAUUGCUGCAUCUCUUGAAACAACAUGAUUAGUAAGUAGUGUUAGCAUGUAUUGGUCUAGUUCUCCCUCUGGUCAUGUAUGAUAUUUCAGAAGUGCUUGAAGUAUGGUGUCUGUGUUUGUGACUUUAACAUUAUUGCCUGUAUACUGAACGAGCUGUUGUUUGUGGGUAUAUUUCUUAAUCCUCCUUUUAUUCUGUAAGUCCAACAUGGUGAUUCAUUGUAAUUUUUUGCAUGUCCAUCUAGCAUAAGAUACAGGAUGAGUUGAUCAUAGCGCGAGAAAUUGUUAUCAACGAUGCUGAGGCUUCUCUUAGGCACAAGCUUACUAAACGCUCAACUCAAGAAGAAGUAUGUGUAACUUUUCUAUGCUUAUAAGAUACAAUUUUCCUUUCUCUAGUUUGUAAUGCCUAUUCGCCUUGCAGAUUCAGAGGUCUACUGGCGCUGUGGUGAUUACUAGGUUUGUCCAACAUCUAACUCAUGGAGAAGGAAGUUUUACAAUAAUCUUUUCUAGAUUUAACUGAUGAACUUUUUUUGUAGGGGCAAGUAUCGUCCUCCAAAUGCACCUCUUGAUGGUGAAAAGCCAUUGUAUCUUCACAUAUCUGCUGCUGCCCAGGUUUGUUAUCCUUUUUAGCCUAACAGAAUAAUAGUCAAGGGGAAUCAAAAGGACUAGGCUAAGAAGCUAGUGAUUAGUGCUGUGUGAUUACUGAUUAGGUUGUUUGAUAGAAACUAUAAUGUGUCGAGAUGUUUUGGAAAUAUGAUAGAUGUCUCGCAUGUGAGUGGCAGAAAGUAAAACGUUUGUGGCUUAAAGAAAUUCCUUGUUUCCCAUAUUUGAGAAGCUUUAUUUGACCUCUGAGCUUGGAGAAGUUGGCCUGGUUUUUACGUAUGUUAUUGCACGUGCAGUUAAACGAGACUACAGAACGUAUUUUAGCAGUUGAUCGUGCAGCAGCUAUGAUUGAGGAGAUGCUGAAACAGAAAUCAAUUUCACAGGUCGGAUCAGUUGGGUUACCGACUGUCAAGGUAGAUUCUGUUUCACUUCUUUUUUGUAGUUAUGAUAUUGGAAAAAUAACAAUGUAAACCAUGUUACCAGAUGCAGAGCACAUGCGUGUAUUUGGGUUUCGAAGCUGACCCAUCAUCUAAUGUUGCUGCUCGUAUUCGUGGACCUAAUGUGAGUUUUUCUUAAAUAUCUCCCCCUUUGUUCUUUCUAAGUUACACCAAAAGAAUUGAAUCUUUAGUCUAAUAUCAAUCAAGAGAAGUGUUAGCCAAUUGGUGUUAUGUUUUCAUCUUUGAUUAAUUUUUGCACUUUCUUUUAUUUGUCUCAAUCCAUGAAUUCGAGAGAUUCUAAUGUUGAAGCUCUCUCUGACAUCUCCGUGCAAUCGGGAGAGAACUUUUUUUUUUGUUGGUGGUGGUUGGCUUUCGUACAUGCAGGAUCAGUAUAUAAAUCACAUUAUGAAUGAAACAGGAGCAACUGUUGUACUAAGAGGGCGCGGUUCUGGAAGCAUUGAGAACCAACAUGGAGAAGGUAUUAUUUUCCUCGUUUCUGUUAUUAUUCGUCUACUUAUGAAGGUGUUAUUUACCCUGCAAGGUGUGUAUAUCUGAAUGACAUUGUUAAUGUAAAUUCCUGUUUUUAAUGCAUUAUGGCAGAAGCACAACUACCGCUGCAUCUAUUAUUGUCCGGCAGCAACCCAAAGACCAUCGACGAUGCAAAACGUUUAGCUGAGAAUCUUAUGGAUACGAUCAGUGUAGAAUUUGGGGCAUCAAGGUCAAUUUUAACUUCCAGAAUAUCUUCAAUGUUUGCCAGAUAUAAUAGGCCUUCUUCCUGUUUACAUCAUCUUUUUGUCACUAAAUAUUACUUCUUGCUGAUAGAUUUGAACCACUUUGGUUUUAAAAGAUAAAUUCCUUCAUAGGGUCUUCUAUUUUCUGAUCAGAAGCAUGUUCCUAUGUUUUAAAAAUAAAAAAUUAUUUGCUGAUCUGUAAUUAUUCUACAAAAUGUUUCAGGAUUUCCUCAAACAAGGUGUAUGGUGCAGUACCACCACCACAGCAACUACUUUCUGGAGCUCCAGGUUCUGAAAAGGAGCAAACGCCAAAUUUAACUUCAACAUAUGGUUUGAUGACAUCGAUACCAAUCACAGCACCACCAAGCACUGUUAGUCCGUUUCCAGUUACUCCAGCUACAAGUCUUUAUCCUCAGUUUCCAGUAAUGCAACCUCUAGGAAUAUCAAAUGGUGGGCACUUCCAUCAAAGUCCUGUCAGUUACUUACAGCCCGUGGCGGGGGGAACUAGCUAUAGUGGGUAUGCUGGAAUAUACCCUCAAGCCACACCACUGCAACAAGUUGCUCAAGUCCUUAAGCAAUCUAUUUCUCCUGUUAUCUCCACUGUGCCCCCUACUAUGUUGCCAGCUACAUCCUUCUCGACCCCAAGUGAUAUUUCAAGUAAGGAAAAGGAAAGGAACCCACCCCGAAAGCGAAAGUUUCAAGAACUACCAGCUGAUUGUAAGGUUCCAGCAAAAGCCAAACAGGUAAAAACAAAUUUCUGCAUCCGCGGUGAUUUUGACGAAGAAAUAUAUGGGUCGAACCCUGGUCUUCCAUAACUAAGUUACCAUGAGAAAACUUGUGCUUAGGGUUGUUUGAAAUAAAAUUUUCCAAGUAUUGGGUACUUGUAAGCAGUUAGCAUUAGUGAAUGAGGGAACAGAUCAGGUAUAAGUCUUUUACAUGGACAAAUGAUUAAAUACUUUGGGUAGGGUGACAAAAGGUAAGGUUUUUUUACUGCCCUCAUGAAGCCUAGCAUGCAUCUUCUUAAGCAUGUCUGCGUCUAAAGUAUCAAACCUGUUUAUGAAAUCUAUCAUUGGAUUGUCAUAAGUAUCAUGAAAAUUCAUGGCAUCUAAGUUCUAAUACAUUUUUUCAGUUUCUCUGUGAUGAUUUUAUCCUGUGCUGAUUUUUUUCCCUUACUAUUCCAGGUAUUUUUCUGAACUUCUAAGAAGCUAACUAGCUUAUUCUGGACCCGUGGGCCAUUGGUUUGCAUGUUUCACAGGGUAUUUUUAAUAUUGGAGGCACCAUGUGGUUUGGAGUAGUUUUCGCUACAACUUGGCGACCAGAAUCAAAUUUAUCCUUACUUUUAAAUCUCUUUUAACAGACGUGAUAUGUGUGCAUUGAAUAAUCCAAUGUAUCUGCACUUUAGUACCUUGCAUUUAGGUUGGCAUUACUGACAUCUACUGAUACCUUUAUCCAUUGUAUAAUAUGCUCAUUCUCCACCGUAGAUGGAACUAUGCGCUUGAUAUAAUUUUUGCAAUCAAAUGUUUCUUGAUGCAUGUAGUUAGAGAAAAAAUUAACAUUAAAUUGACCAGUAUAAACAUAUGUUAGGUUGUCGUUAGAACCAAGCAGCUAUACAUCUUCUGAUCUUUUUGGAUGUUAGUGAGCUUGUGACUGUUUGAAUGAAAAUGUUGUUUGAAUUCACUUUGGUCGUGAAUGAGUUUGUAAAAGGUUUACAGUUUUACCAAAUCCAUUCUUCAUGAUUUAGCGUUCCGGUACAUUUUUCCUGGAUUUGAAAGUGUUCGCAUUACUCUCUCCGCUUUUUAGGAAUACCAUCUCUUCAUAGUUCAUAUAUUUGCAUGGUCACUUUUUAUCUGCCAAAACGUCCAACUGUUGUAGUGUAUAUGGCGAUGAAUGUUUUAAUUCUAUCAUAUGUUGCAGCAAUCAGAGUUAGCAAUGACAGGUGAUGUUACUCCAAAGAAUAUAGUUGAGGAGCCAUCAGCAAAUAGAGUGCAGUCGCCUCGUUCACCAAGAUCUGUGAUGCCUCCUCCUCCACCAAAGACCAUCACACCACCGCCUUCUAAGACCGUGUCUCCUCGAUCGUCAAGAAGCAUGCUUCCUCCACCACCACCUUCUAAGACCAUGUCUCCUCAAUCAUCAAAAAGCAUGCUUCCUCCACCACCACGAUUUACACCGACAACUCAACCUUCAAGAUUACAGGACAACCACAUCACUGUAAAGAAACCAAGUCCAGUUCCAGGUAUUAGAUUAAAACCACCAAUUAUUUACUGAUUUGAUACGAAUCUUAGGGUUAACGGUAACUUAGCAUCAUUUAUGAUCAAUCAAUCACGUGCCCUGAUGUUGCAGAUACGUUGGUAAAGCUGAUGGAAUAUGGAGACGAUGAAGACGAUGACGACGAUUCUGAUGACACAUUGAUAAUCAGAUCGUGACAAUGUUUUAGAUUACAGAAACUUCUUAUCUGGCAACAAAAUGCCAAUUUAUGUUUGUAACAAUAGAAAUGUUGGUGUCUUACUGAUUUGGAAUUUCAUUGCCAUUACUUUAGUUAUCUUUAAAACAUUAGUUACUUGUUUUGCAAGAAAUUGAUCCUUUUGUUGUAGUAACUCAUAUUAUUGAUUUUAUACAUGAUGUAGAAGCCUUUCCAAGUUAUCAUUUUUUUAUUUCUAUAAAUAGAAUUAGAUUAUAUAUAAUAAUUCCUUGAAAAUUUUAUAGAUAUCUUUGAUUACUUUUUCCAAAACAAUAACGUCUUUUGAAUAUAACUUUUGCUUUUUGUAGAUUAUCUUUAUACACCAAAUUGGUCAAGUCAAGAUGAUAUAUUUAUAUGCGACUAAAUUCAUAUUUUUCAAUUAAAAAAACGGUAUUACAGUUUUCAGAUGAUUAAAAUAUUAUUGACCCACAAUUUAAGUCAGAAAGAAAAUUCCAAGUUGAGUUUUUAUAUAUUUUUUUGUCAACUAAAAAUUCCAAAUUGGUUAAAAUAUUAUCAAGUUGUGUAUGGUGUGAUUCCAUGAAAGGUCGUGUAGUUGACCAAAGACCUUUGCAAAAUUGUGAUAUGGUCAAGUCUAUUUCUUUUGACUUGUCUCUUACUCCUAAAUAAAUUCAUUUCUUUACUUUUGAUUACAAAAAAAAUUCCAAAUCUAAUCAUAAUUCUUUAAGACCAACCAACAACUAUAACAAAGACCUCGCAAACUUUUAUUUCACUAAAAUAUUCAUGAAAUGAUGAAUAUAAAGAUUACAAUGUAAUAAAUUCAAUACAAACAAAACAUAUAUUUCUAUACUUGUAACAUUAUAAUGAACCAACCAAACUCUUAACACAAUUUAUAAUCAUCUUCUAUAAGAAUUGUUCAAGGAUUUAGGAGAACCAGCAAAGAGAUCCAACAAGAGUCUCUCAAGAUCAUCAGUAGUGUACUUAAUAUACCUUUCACUCACAUUGUUCUUGUGUCUACUGUAAAAUGUCCAAUACGCUUGAAUCACCCACAUUGACGCCUUUGUCCUCACGUCUUCUCUUAGCCCCUCAUCGGAUAUUAGCCACCCGGUUUGCGCCUUAUACACUUCCUCAAACGCAGUGUUGAAUCCUUGGAACCGCUCCCUUGGGCGUAGAUUCUUCGAACCAUGACCUGAGCUGGAACCAGAAUCGUCCUUGAGGAAGGAUAGGACAGGGAGCCAGGUUGCGCGUUCAUACUCUAUUGAUUGCUGCUGAAACUUCCAUGUAUGUUUUCGGUUCCAUUUGUCACCGAAGAUAUGUCUCAGCUCGGACUUUAGUACUUUUCGGGUCAUGUAGUGUAUGUUGUUGAGGAGAAAAAUGUGUCGUAGAGAGACAUCUUUGUAUAGUUUUGAUUUCUCUUGAAGGUUGGCUUCGAGGGCAGAGGUUAUGGAGUAGAAAUGUCGGGUCAUUGCCAGAAAUUUGUCAGGUGAAGAAGAGUUUUCGUAGGUUGACUCUUCUUCGACCAUCACGGGAUUGAUAAUAUCCGGCGAUGGAGGUAUUGUGAGAUCUUCUACAUCGUCGUGUUCCAUUAGAAGAGAGUCGAGCGUGUGGCUGAAAUCCGUUAGAGCCAUGAGGUAAUUCAUCACAUAAUUUGUAAGCGGGUGAACCGCGCCUCCAGGGAAAGGAUGCGAUGAGACAUCCGAUGCAAUCGCACUUUUGAAUUCAAGAAACGUUGUUCUUGCACAGUCCCCGAGUCUCCUCAUCACUUCCCUAUAUUCUGUUCUUACGGAUGAACCGGGAUGAUCCAAGAACAAAGCAUCGAUCUCUGGUAAAAGCUCGGAUGCUAGCUCGUACAUUUCAAGAAUCCUAAGCAAUUUCUCGGGCUGUCGUGGACCAAGAGACACAGCUUCACCAAAAUUGAGCAACUGCAUCAUUGGAGCCUUCACAGUAUCGACGAAACAAGUUAGACCGAUCUCAUUUAGGUCCCCAAAGAUCUGAUUAUCCAGAGACUUCUCGCUCAAGAGAUAUAUCUGGACGAUAUUUCUCACAACCCGAACCCAUUUCUUGAUAUUCGUAUUUAACGUAGCCCAAUCCAUCCUCAAAACAUCUUCAAUGCUCAACUUCUCGACCUCGUGGUUAUAAAGAAACUCAUCCAACGCAUCUUUUCUAACCAUUGUACAUACCUGGAUACACUCGCGGUCAUACCCCGAAGCAAUCAUAGUGGUUGCAAUGUUCUUGAGAUCUGAUAUAACAUCAGGAUUAAUCAAAUCAACCACAAUUUCCCCUGAGUUUCUCCUACUAUCGUUAUUGCUUCCAAGAAUCAAAUCCUCAGUAGAAGCAGCGCCAAACGAAGCCAUGGCCUCUUCUUCCACACCAUGAUCCGCUUCAACAGACCGAAACGACGAAUGUUCAAGCUCAAAAGGCAAUCUAUUCUCCACAAGAAGAUGCUUAAACUCAUCCUCAAGCCGUGCCAUCGCCGUUUGAAGAACAUCAUGAGCUUUUCUUAAAGAAAGCUCCUCACUUCCCGCCUUCCCUAAACCCGAAGAACCGUUCAACCGUUCAAUCAAACUCCUCAACUCAUUCACAGCAUCUAAAUACAGAUUACCUUCAUCUGAACCCAAAUCCCAAAUCAUCGAUUCAUCGACUUCUCUAGUCAUAAUCUUAUCACUAACAACAUUAAGCCUUUGCUCAAUCUCACCUAUUUCAUCUUCCUCAUCUCCAUCCUCAGCUAUGACCACACGAGACAACUCCAAUAAGAGAUUCCCCAAAACCUUCUUAGCAUUUUUAGUAAGACUCUUACCAGAUCUAAGUUCCUUCACAACAUACUUAGCAGCAACAAUCAACUUCUCCUCUCCAUCUACCUCAAACUCUCCCAUAUCCACACAAAUGAAAUCACCAAAUAAGCUUAUCCAAAACUUAAAACCCUAAAACAAACUUAAAUCUUUAAACCCUAAUUCUCAAAACCUUGAACCCAUUAAAAAACCCAGAAGAAAGAAUCACAAAAGACUUAAACUUUACAUGAAAGUUUGAGACUUUAAUGUCAAAACUUAGCAAAAGAGGAUCUUUUUCAGAGUGAGAUUGGUGAAGAAGAAGAAGAAGAAACGUAUGGAUUCAAAAAUCAAUUUUCUUUAAAGAUUGAAAAAUGCAGAUUUUCUUGGAGAUUUCUCUUUCUCUCCCAAUUUUUUUUUAAAUUUUUGCUCUUAAAAAUGUUUUUUUUUCUUUCUUGUUAUUGGAUUUGAUUUGAUUUGUUUUGUUUUGUUGCUCCACUAUAAGACCACAAGAACAGAGGAAGAAGAUUCAACGGAAGAAAAGGUUGACGAUGUUUAUUUUUAUUGUUUAUUAUCCACAAACAGUUGAUUAAUAAAGUUUUGGAUUAUUAAAUACUUAAUUACUUUGCUUCACACUCUCGGUUUCUAAACAAGUGCACCAAAAAAAAAAAAAAAAAUUAACACAACUGGUAUUUUAAGUAUAUACAAAUGCUUUUUUUUUUUUUUUGUCAACCACUAUUAAUUAAGAUUCAAAAGAGUGAUUCCUGAGGAAUGUUGUUUACAUACAAAUGCUGGUUAUAUUGGAUUUUUAAUUAGAUAAAACGAAAAUGAGACAGUGUUAGAUGGUUUUAAUAUGCGAGGAAAGAAUUCGAAAUCUAUAUUAAAAUGUAAGGAUUUUAGUAUAUUUGACCUUUGGAGUGGUAAUGCAACAUUAGUGGUGAAUUAUAUAAUCGUGCAUAAUUAAUGAAAUAGGCAAGUUGAAGACCGGAAUAUUUAUAGCAAGGACAAACUUUUAUUUUGUGGUCGAAGGGUCAAGGGACAAGGGUAUAUUACAACUCGAUCGGUAUGCAAAGAAACAAAAAAUAGGAUAAUUUUCAAAAAUAUUACAUUUAAGUGUUAGUUUUUUUAAAAAAAUAUCACUUAAAUUUUGAUUUUAUAAAAAUACCACAGAAAUUAAAAUUUAAUUUUCAUUGUUCAAAACUAAAUCUUAAGCACUAAACACUAAAUUCUACCUCCCAAAAGCUAUAUUCUAAAUUUAAAAUAGUCAAUUCAAACCUAAAAUUUUAAAUUUUCAACCCUUAAAAAUCAAUUUUUGUGUUUUUGGUAUUUUUUGAAAACCAAAACUAUUUAUGGUAUUUUUUUAGAACAUUAAACUAAUAGUGGUAUUUUUGACCACAUAAUUUGAAAUGUGAUAUUUUAAGUAAUUUCUCUAAAAAUAAUCAUGUUUAUGAUUGAGUAAUAUAUGUGCGUUUUUAAAAAUUUGAAUCAUAUUAUAUGCAGAAAAAUCUAUUAUUUUCUUAAUUAUAUAUAUUUUAUAUAAACUCAAAAAUAAAUUAAAUAUAAGAUCAUAAAAAAGGUGAAAGAAGAAUCAUAUAUUAAUGUUUAAUUUAGAUAGAGAGGUUUUAGAAAAUUAGUAAUUAAUCGUAUUUAGAAACAUAAUCAAUUUGUUACCAUAUUUGGAAGUAGGCCUGGGCAUAAAACCCGAAAUCCGAAAACCGAUCCGAAACCGAUCAGAAAAAUCCGGAACCGAACCCAAACCGAAUAGUCACAAAAUCCGAACGGAUAAUGAAUUCUCCUAUCCGAAUUACCCGAACCGAACCCGAUCCGAACCAAAAACCGAAAGGAUAUCCGAAAACCGGAAAUAAAAAUUAUAUAUCCAAAAAUAUUAGUUAUAUUUAGUUGUAAUUUUAUAGCAAAUAACAAAAAUAUCCUAAAUAUCCUAGAUUUGGGAAAAAAUUUAGUUAUAUUUGUUAAAAUUAUACAUAUUUUUGCAAAAUUUAACCAAAUUUUAGUAAGAUUAAAUCAAUUUUUAUUAAGAUUGAACUAUUUUUAAGUUUUUUUUCCCGAAAACCGAUCCGAAUCCGACACCUAUCCGAACCGAAACCGAACCGAUGACUCAUAAAAUCCGAACGGAUAAUAAAUUCUCCUACCCAAAUUAUCCGAAUCCGAAUAUAUCCGAACCGAAACCGAACCGAAAAAUCAUAAAAUCCGAACGGAUAAUAAACUCUCAUACCCGAAUUAUCCGAAUCCGAAUAUAUCCGAUCCGAAUCCGAUUUGAAAUCCGAAUGCCCAGGCCUAUUUGGAAGCCACAGUUUCUAAAAGAUUUUUUUGAAAAUAAUAUGUAAUAGUAAUGACAAUGGCAUUAUUUUGUAAAUAAGUGUCAACUCUAUGAUUUAUUUCAGAUUUGUACUUCAAAAAUGUAUAUAUAGAUAAAAUGACUCUGAAUGUGAGAAGCCACCGUUUGUAAAUAAGUGCCAACCCGAUGUGGAACGUUCAACACACACUUUUUCAUUAAUUGGGUAAUAUAUAUCACGAUAUAUGCAGAAAAAAUUGAGAUUUGAUUUUUAACUUAUGUAUUAUAUGAUAAUUCAAAAUAAAUCAAAAAUAAUCAAACAAAGAUGAAAGAAGAAUAAUAAAGUUAAAUCAGAACAAAAUCUUAUAAAUAUCUUUAUUAUUAAAUAUAGAAACCUAAUUAGUGGAUACGAUCUAAUUUUGGUAAUAUUUGUAUCCGACUUUUAGGCAAAUACCGUUGCAAGAGUUGGGCUAAAUAUAACCCGAUCCAACCAAAUUUUUAUGAAGAAAAUUUCUUAUCGGGUCGGGCACCAUUUGUGUCCAAAAACAAUUUAACCCACCCGCUAAAAAUGUACUUCAAAAAUACUAGUAUAGAUUUUUAUUACUAUUUCAUUUAAUCAAAUAUAAUUAUCAUAUAAAAACCAUAAACUAUUAAAAUUACUUAUUAAUUAUUUACUUUUUAUAAAAUUUCAAUUUUUUUAGUAUUUAGAAUAAAAAAUUUCUGUAGUAAUAAUUUUUAAUAUUGAAAUAUAUAUUGAUAGUUUUAAUAAUAAUUGGGUUUCUCAAAUAUGAGAGAAGAUACUUGAAUUAUUUAUUCGGGUGAUUUUGCAAAUAUAGAAUAUUAUAUGCAAAAUAAUCUUAUAUUUGUCUCAAUUAUCAUACAAAGAGAGCACAUGUUUCCAAAAAUUGGAUGUCAAUUCUGUUUUCAACAACAUUUUCUUCAUUUGCUAAAUUUUAUUUUUCAAAAUAUAUUUCUUCAAUAUUUUAGCCUAUAUAUGGAUUGUUUUGUCAAGUUUUAAAACUUAUUUAAAAUUAUCUAAAAAAAUUUAAAACUAUCCAAAAGAUUUCAAAUCGGGAGUUUCUUUUUAAUAUAUGCAUUUUACCUGAAAUAUCUAAAAAUAUCCGAACAUGAAUGUUACUUUUAUUCGUUUGAGUGGUGAUUUUGUAUAUCUGAAUUGUCCAUAUACGGUACAUUCAUACCCGUUCAUGUUAUCUUAAAUAUUUUCUACCCGAGUAGUCGCUAUUAUUUAAAAUGAACAUAUUAAAUAUAUUACAUUACAGAAAGUUAGAUUUAUAUUAAAAAAAAAAAUCAAAAAUGUUUGAUCUCUUACAAAGUUAGUUUUUCCUAGAAAGCUGAAUGAGAAGUUUGACUUUUGUAUAUAAAGUUUGGUAUAGAUUGUGAAGCCAUCUUUUUACUUCCAUGCAAUUUUCAUUGAAAUGAUAAAGAAAGUUCCUUUGAACUUCGAAGUACAAAAGCCAAGGGAAACACUAAUUUGAUUUUUAAAAAAUUAUCUAACGUAUUGUCAAUAAAUUCGUAUGAACUAAUACUUUUGUAUAUUUUCCACACAAUAGCCACAUGAAUUUUUCUGUUUGUAAUGACUUAUGUGUUCCAAUUUAUAACUAAUUAACGAUAAUUUUUUUUUUUUCUUACUUCUCCAUCUCGUAAUGAUUUCAUAUUUGUAAUGAUAACUCACAAAACAUUUGUAGAAUAGGAUCACAAGCAAACAAAAUUAUAAGAGUUUUUUUAACUCACAACCAAUUGAUGAUAUGUUCUUUAAAUAAUUGUUUUUAUAUUAUUAUUUAUAAGAUUCAAAUUCUGAAAAUUUUUAAGUAAAAAUCUUGGAUUACUAUACAAACUCAAUCAAUAUAACAGAAACUCUAAUCAUGUUUAUUUAGAUUUAAAAGUAUAUUUUUUCUUUUCUUCAACCUAUAUAUAAAAAAAUAUAUAUAUAUAUAUAUAUGACUCUUAAAUGAAUCUUAAAUGACUCUUAGAUGAAUCUUAGGUCUUAAUAUGAAUUUAAUUAAAUGGCAAAUGUUGAUAUUUCUUAAGAAAUGUCUCUUAAUUAAGAAACAAAAGAUAAGGUAAGAGGCGGAUGCGUGUCGCCACCCCAUUGGUCGAAGAAGAAUUAUAAAACGGAAAAAAAGAGAAUCGGGAUUCUCUCUCUUCUCCUCCUUUCUCUCUAUCUUCUAUUUUCACGUGUUUGUUUUUUUUUUCUAGCGACGAAGGACGGGAUUGAGUUAAAUCUCUGAUUCACCGCUGUUUCUAUCCUCCGGCAGAACUACAAGAGUUAUCUCAUCAUCUCCACCGACGUUUGGUUUCCACGGCGACGAGGAGAAGCUCUAAUCGGCGUCGAGGAGAAGCUGUAAUCGUAGAUCUAAGUUCAAGAUCUCCGAUUUUUCAACAAAUCGGAGUUAAUCCUUCACAAAUCGGUUAUUUCUAGUAUGAAUCUCUCUCUGCAUGUUCGAUUUGAUGUUAUUUGAGUGUGGGGAAAUUAGGGUUCAUAUAUUUGGGGAAAUUAGGGUUUUUUUUUUGUUUUUGUAAAAUUAGGGUUAAUCUUGUAUGUCUGUAUAUUUAGGCAUGAUUUUUAAUAUCGUUUACACCAAUUACUCUUCGAUUUAAUUCGAUUGUUUGUGUAGAUAGUUUUUAAUCUGGUUGUUUGUGUUGAUGAAUGUUUCGAUUUACACUUUGAGUUGUUUGAUUCUAUAAUUUGUGUUUGUUUUGAUUAAUUUCUAUACGAAUAAGUAUUAGAUUUCUUUGAGAUAUAUGUAUUAAAAUGAUAAGGUUUUGAUAUAGAUUAGGUCAGUUUUAUUUUGAAGUCAUGUAUGGAGAUGAAUUGAUGCUUUUAACACAUUGUUUGUGUCUGUUCGUAUCUGUUUUGGUUUCUAUACGCAUGAUUGUUUGGUUUCUUUGAGAUUUAUGUGUUAAAGUGAUGAGGUUGUGAUAUAGAUUAGGUCAGUUUUAUUUUGAGAUCAUGUAUGGAGAUGAAUUGAUUUCUUUUAACACAUUGUUUGUGUCUGUUUGUGCCUGUUUUAACAAAUUCCUCUUGAAUUUGAUUAGUUUCCCUCUUGAAUUUGAUCAAAUGAUCUCUGUUUGACUGCGAGGAUUAUAUGGAGAUACAAAGAAAGAUAGAAUCUGCUACAUAUGAUUGGAGAUUUUAUGAGAGAACUCAGAGGAAGAUUACUCCGGAUUAAGACUAGAGAUUAGGGUAAGUAAUAACUGUCUUUUCUUCCUUAACUGAUCUGAAUAUUGAUGAUAUAUAUUAGGUGAGACUUGAAUUGUGUGAUUAGUAUUGUUGCUUGUUCAUUAAAUGCAUACCAAGAAAGAGGAACAAGUGGACAUCCAAAGAAGAUGUGGUCCUCAUCUCUGCUUGGUAAUAAACAAAGAGGAGAAGCUUUCUGGAAGCGCAUUGCAACAUACUUUUCAGCUAGUCUCAAUGUUUCUACUCUGAAACAGAGGCUGCCAAGUCAUUUCAAAUGAAGGUGGGCAAAGAUUAACGCGAUUGUUUGCAAGUUUGUGGGAUCCUAUCAAGCUGCAACAACUAAGAUGACAAGUGGGCACAAUGAUGAUGAUUUGAUGAAACUAGCUCAUCAGAUUUACGAGAGUGAUUACAAGAAGAAGUUCAUGCUAGAGCAUGCAUGGAGAGAGUUAAGACAUGAUCAGACUGGCAAGAUUAAAAGAAGAAAGGUUGAAUCUGGUUCUAUGCAUUCUUCUGAAGCUUCCCAAGCCCAUGGAGAGUCUGUAGCUUCUCAAGCUCGUCCACCUGGUGUGAAGGCUGCCAAGGGUUAAGGCAAAAGGACUGCCAACAGUUCACCUAAUGUGGAAGUAGAAGGGCAGGCAUUGGAAAGGAUUCAGACUUUGUGGGACAUAAAACAACAAAAUUUUGCUAAGAACAUGCUUUGAAAGAUAAACUUACCAACAGGAAAUUGUUUGAAUUUCUUCAAGCUAAAUCAGAUCCUCUUACUGAAAUUGAGGAAGAACUAAAGACCAAGCUAAUUACAGAGAUUUUGCUUUGAAUUUCUUGCUUGUAUUUAUGUUUAUGUUUCUGGUUGUCUUCGUGUUUGUGUUUAUGUUUGUGUUUAUGUUACCAACAAUGUAGUUUGUGUUUAUGGUUCUGUUUCAUAUGCUAAAUGAUGUUUACGUUUCAAUUAAUUUGUGACUUUAAGUCAUAUUUCUGUAAACAAACAAAAAAAUAUUUUUUGUUAUCAUUGUUUUGCUCUCUGUUUGUAUAUUCUUUGUACGUUCACGUGAAACGAGAAGAAGAAAAAAAAAAUGAUGGACACCACAAGUUUUCUCUGUAGGUUCACGGACACCACAAGUUUCACUUUACUUUAUACCACAACUUUUCACUUUACUUUGUACCACAAGUUUUCACUUUGCUUUGUACACCAUGUAUUAUUUUGGAAGGUUUGCUAUAAAUAUCGCCAUAUAAUAUCACAUGUCUUCAUUCUCUUUUGUUCUUACAAACUCAAUACAAAAAAUCCAAACCAAUACCACAACCAAUUACUUGUUAACAAACCAAAUCCAAGCCAUAUUUUACUCCAAAAACAAUUACUUGUUCUCAUACCAAAUCCAAGCCUUCAUAUUUUCUUUUCACACCAAUUUCUUAUUCUCAAACCAAAUCCAAGCCUUCCUUUUCUUUUUAAUCAAGAAAAUCCAAAAAAUUCUACUUCAAACCAAAAGAUCCAAUAUUUUCUACAGAGAAAAUGGCAUCAUCUUUCCGUGAUAAUUUCGAAGAAGCGUUGGACGAAGAAUUUGAUAAUAUUUUCGAGCAUAAAUUAGAUAAUUAUUUGUACAAUUACUGUUAUCGUUAACAAGUAGCACAAUUGAAGAAAAAAAUAGUCUAUACUGAAAGACAUCGUGAAGAAUGACACAUCUAGUUAUGGAACGAUUAUUUCGUAGAAAAUCCAACUUUCCCUUCUAGUCUAUUCCGACGCCGUUUUAGAAUGACCAAUCCCUUAUUCAUGGGUAUUGUGAUCGACUCUCUGCAGAAAUUACAUACUUUCAACAAAGAAGAGAUGCUACCGGAAAGGACGGUUUCUCUGCACUACAGAAGUCUACUACAACAAUUUGUAUGUUUGCAUAUGGUUGUGCAGCUGAUGCGGUGACGUAUACCUCCGUAACGCUGAACCGCUUCGAUGAAGUGCAUGGANNNNNNNNNNNNNNNNNNNNNNNNNNNNNNNNNNNNNNNNNNNNNNNNNNNNNNNNNNNNNNNNNNNNNNNNNNNNNNNNNNNNNNNNNNNNNNNNNNNNGACCGUUGAAGAUCUUCUGGUGUGGGUUUUCGUAGGUACUCAUCUCCAAACAAAAAAAAUUAUUCCGUCAACAAAAUGUUCCAUGCACUUCAUCGAAGUGGUUUCACCAAUCCGGAGGUAUUCGUCAACCGCAUCAGCUGCACAACCAUAUGCAAGCAUACGAAUUGCUGCAGUAGACUUCUGUAGUUCAGAGAAACCGUACCUUUCGAUAGCAUAUCUUCUUUGUUGAAAGUAUAGAAUUUCUGCGGAGAGUCGAUCAACAAUACACAUGAAUAAGAGCUUUUCAUUCUAAAACGGCGUCGGAAUAGAUUAGGAGGGAAAGUUGGAUUUUCUGCGAAAUAAUCGUUCCAUAAUUGGAUGGGUCCUUCUUCACUAUGUCUUUCAAUAUAGACUUUUUUUUCUUCGGUUUUGCUGCUUGUUGACGAUCACCGUAAUUGUACAAAUAAUUAUCCAAUUCUUGCUCGAAAAUACUAUCAAAUUCUUCAUCCAACGCUUCUUCAAAAUUAUCACGGGAAGAUGAUGCCAUUUUCUAUGUAGAAAAUAUUGGAUUUUUUUGGUUUGAAGUAGAAUUUUUUGGAUUUUUUUGAGUAAAAAGAAAAUGAAGGCUUGGAUUUGGUUGAGAACAAGAAUUUGGUGUGAAAAGAAAACAUGAAGGCUUGGAUUUGGUAUGAGAACAAGUAAUUAUUUUUGGAGUAAAAUAUGGCUUGGAUUUGGUUUGUUAACAAGUAAUUUGUUGUGGUAUUGGUUUGGAUUUUUUGUAUUGAGUUUGUAAGAACAAAAGAGAAUAAAGACAAGUGGUAUUACAUGGUGAUAUUUAUAGCGAACCUUCCGAAAUAAUACAUGGUGUACAAAGUAAAGUCACAACUUGUGGAACAAAGUAAAGUAAAAACUUGUGGUUAGAUUUGCGGUACGAACGAUUCGUUUUACAUUUAUUAAUAAUUAUAUAUAAGACCAACAAUUUAUAUGAAAUAUUCUCUCAUGUUAUAUAUACUUGACUGGAGAUUAAAUAUUUUUUAUUUUGAAUUUUAUGGGUGAGAGAUAUAUGUUUUAAAUGCUCCUCUGCACCGCAUAAAAAUAUCAUCCAAAAAGGAUAAAAUAUAUAGAUGCAGGAGAUGAGUCUCUGCUCUACAAAUACUGAGCCAUCUUAUGAGAGAUGUGCCUAUUGCAAGAUUUGCAAAUUAUCAUGUAGAUGAUAAAAGUUUCCCAUUAUUAUGAGAGAAUCAUUGAAUAGUUUGGAUCUCUGAACAAAUGACUAUAAUAAAUAUGAACUUAAGAGUUCAAAAGUUCAAAAGGAUCACUAUUCAGAAUAUAUUGCAAAUCAAAUGCAAAAAGCUUAUGGAUGAGAUUUCAUGCAAUUAUUGAUCCUCGUAUAAAUGUAUAUAAACUUAAAGUUCAUACAAAAUCUCUUGUCCCAGCUAAAAAUGUUCUACAAAAAUAUAUCUCUCGCGGAUGACAUAUUAUUGUCUAUAACACGUAAAAGAACGUGAUAGACAACUUUGGUUCCGAAUAUAAAGAAAAUCUUCAAAAUUAAAAAGAGCAUAUUAUUACUAAAAAGAAGAUUAAAAUCUUAAAAGAGGAGCAUAGAAACUCCUAAAUAGGAGCAAAAAAAAAAGACUCUUCAAGAAGAGUAAAGAGACCGAUUGCCAUGGUUAAUAACGAAAUCAGGUACCUAAAUAAAAUCAUUUGUAAUGAUUAAGAGAUCUCGAUUAACCAUGUCAUUACGGAAAAAUAUAGAACCGAAGACAACAUAAUGUCAACAAUAAAAUGAUCUAGUGCACAAAUAUGAUUAAUGAGGAUCAUGAAUCUCCGCUCUGUGAGCGUAAAGAGAUAUAUAUUGGCAAAUAAACAAAGAGCCAGCCAAGUCUAUAUUAAUGUCGUAUAAGAAACGAGUAAUUUCUGGACACAUGGUCCAAGCCUUCAAAGAGUAUUAUGAUACUUAAGACAAGGUGGUGUGUCGCGCCGAGUUUUGUCAAAAUCACCCUAUAUUGAGUUGAUGAAUAAACAACUUGAAUUACGCCUCUUGGGAUGUCUAUAUGACUAUAAUCCCUGAAAGAUAUUUGAUAUCAUAGUUAUAUUCCCGUGAACUUAUAAGCAUGAUAUUUUUGAACAUCAUCAAAACUCUUAAAGAGUUAUUUGGAAUAAGAGAUCUUGGAAAGACAAAAGUGUCUCCAGAUAUCCCAACUAAACAUCUAAAGUAAGAGAUGUUAUAUUAGUCACUUUCUAAAGGAAGUCGACUCUAUAUAUUUGAUCAUGAAGCACUAUAUAUAAAUGCUGACGAGUAUUUAUAUAUUUUGUGAAUUGUAGCUAGCAUAUAUAAAUGCUAACGAGCAUUUAUAUAUCUUGUGAAUAUAUUGUACCUAGCAGUUGCUACUGAUCUACUUGCAGGAUUAAUUCAUCUCCUCCGACUAGACCUUGAAUGAGUUUAGAUGUGUCUUCCAUUAUCUGCAAGGUACUAUUGACUUGGGUUUAUUUUAUUCUAGAAACCCCGAGUUUGGUUUAGUUGGUUUUGCAGAUGGAUGAUCUAUAUAAAUAUAUAUCGUAAAACAACAACUUCGUGGCGUUUCCAACAACAAAUUUUGGUCGUCGCUUGUUCAAGCCAUGCCAAAAUGCGCUCCAUGAACCAUGUCGAGAAUCUGUAUGGUUCAGAUUGAUGCCCUCUACAUAUACAAGAAGCAAACAAUAUAGGCACCACUGAAGAGCUAACAACAAGACACUACUGUAACUGUUUCCCAAUUCAAAGGAAGCCAUGUCAAGAGCGACAUGAGAAGACAUAUUUCACCAUGAUUCUUCUCUUACAGUCAAGAACCCGAGAAGAAUCGGGAAAUUGAUUUCCAGUACAUCUACUCAAUAAACAAUGUAGCAGAUUACAAAGGUGCUUCCAGCUACAACAUUUAAAAAGCAUGACAUAUCGAAAUGCAUCUUUUGAAGAAGAUGUUUCUAGGGAGAGACAUAUGAUGAUGAGCGUGGCUGCAUUCUUUUUCCCUUAUCAUGGUUUUUAUCCUACUGGGUUUUUUCAUGACAAGAUUUUUAACGAAGCAGCAAAUAAUAUGCAGAAGAUAGACAUCAAAGUAAAGGUCUAUCUCUCUUCCAAAAUCUUUGUCAUAAUUUGACGAGAUCAGAAGACGCGCAGAGAAUGAUCGAGUCAUCUACGAAAGCUAUGGAAAAAAUAAGAUUUGUCUAUUCCAGGGGAAGCUUGCGUCAAUGUACUCUUUUCCUUUAUCAUGGUUUUUCUUGUAUACAGUUUUUCCAUGGUAAAAUUUUUAACGAGGCAGUUCGUAAUAUGUUGAUGGUGAUGGAUAAUCAAGGGAGAGUGUUAGAAAUGGAUAAUCAUAAAUGAUUAUCCCUCACCUUGAUCUCAUCUCCUUAUCCAAUCUAAUUACUUGGCCUCCAAGUUUACUUUGUUAGCAUGUUAUGUAAUGUUUAUCUUUGUUAGAUUUAGUAUAUAUAGACUUGAGAUGUAACGUUGAAAUGUAAGAGAGAAGGAAGAAAAAAUUUUAUUUGCUCUCAUUCUCUCUACGUUCUUCUCUUCUUUUUUCUUAAAUAUUAUAUUAUAUAUGUGUUUGCGUUAUGUUUUAUAACAGCAUUUAUUUUUUUUGGGAAUUUUUUUUAAAAUAGCCAGAAUGUAUUAUAGCAAUAUCAUUACAGUAUGGAUAAGGCAUAGGGACCAGAAAAUUGAUAAAAGUGAGUUAAUAAUUCGGUGGCCUAUUGUAGGCCCAAUUGGAACUCGAUAUUCAAAUCAAUGUGUAGAUUACUAGAUUUUGUUGUUUCGUUAUCGAUUAAAUAUUUAAAUUUUGUUUCUAUCUUUUCAUUGUGGAUAUAAAUAGAAUAAAUAAUAUAUUUUCUUUUAUUAACCGGAAAUAAAAAUAUCCACUAAUCUCUUUAUUAACCUAAAAAUAUUCAUUUCUCAAAUUAUAACUAUAAUAAAACUACAUAUUUUGUAAAACCUAUUAAACUGCCUAUCCUACUAAAUUUUUCUUGUAAAAUAAAAUUGUAAUUAGCCCUUAUAAAAUUGUUAGAAUCAUGAAAUUAUUCUAGUGAAAGUGUUUUGCAAAAUAUUCCAGUGAAAGUGAAACAGCGACCAAAUAUUGCUCUACAAAAGAAACAAAUAUUAUGUAGAUAUUCUAGAAUAUAAACAAGUUUUAAGUUGUGCCAUUCUAACCAAAUCAAGUUUUGGUUAACAAUUGAGUGAUUCCAAAGAACUUGAGGAAUCAAUUACAGGAGAAGAAGAAUGGUUUAACCACUUGAUUCUUUUCAUCCAUUAACUUAAAAGGAAUAAAACGCCCACAUCUCUCUUGUAACGAAUCUCUAUUACCAUAUUCCUGAAACCGGGAUGUUACAUCUCUAAUCCAACAAACCAUUGGUAUUUUGGGUUGGAUUGAACCGGUCUGUAACUUUGACGACUAUACAUCGAACCUAAAGGAAUGAAAAUUAAUCUCCAACGCACCAACUAACAAGAAGAACGAAUGAAACCAUACUUUUUAUGUAUAAAAUCUGAAAAUCGGGAGUUCGAUAAAUUUCUGUUUAUACACCUCAGGAGAUAUGAGAAUUUGUAACAUUGUUCCGAUGCAACAAACCCCUCAAAAGAGACUCAAAAGGGUCACAAGAAGGGAGAUGGAUUUACAACAAUGUGCUUUAAGGGAUGUGCUACAUCACCACCACCAGCAUGUUUAACGAACUCUGCGGGUGAAAGGAAGCUUCCAUGGCACACACACACGAUCCUAACCUCCUCACCUUUGCGGUACCGAUACAGAAAACCAUCAAUCUUUUUCCCGUUUGGUCCAUCACCUGUUGUUGAUACGCACGGCAUGUCUUCUAUGAUGUUUCGGCUCGCUUCUUUGCCCGGAUUCUCGGGCUGAGAUUGAGCGGUUGAAGGGCUUGUUUCCAUCGACUUGUUUGUUGUUGCUUCAAACACAAGUAAAUAUCUCAGUAAAACUCUAAACAAAAGAUGACACUACACAUAAUCUAAAUCAACAAAAAAAUGUCGCAAAGCCUAGAAGAUUUACUAGUUAUGCUUUCGGAUAUUAUCGAUAAUCCCUUAAUACAUUUUCCCUUGGAAUAGGAACACAAACAAUGUGGUAAUGGUAACUGCUCUUUUUCUCUCCAAACUUCGUUUCUUUCCGCUAACAAUACCUAAAAUGGCCAAAAACCGGACUCUAAAACACCAAAAAGACACCUAGACGCGAUGCAAGACGCGAAAUUAAACGAGAAACAAAGACUCAAAAACUCUAUAAACACCUACAAGAGACCUUAAAAUGAUAAAAGAUACGAAAUAAAACGAAAAUCAAAGCCUCAUAAAACGCUAAAUACACAACACAUCAACCACAUUGCGACAAUUGAUCUACCCUAAGCUAAGGAAUCUAAUAAUCUUUAAAUAAUGAUAUCACUACAUCCAAAAGAAGAUUCAAUGUCUUGUACCCCAAUCAAUCAAGUAUCAAAGAUCUAAACAAGACAAACAAACCCCAACAAAACUCCAUCUUAAAGAACACCUAACUCAUCUCUUAAUCCAAAUUCAACAAACUCAUGAAAGACCACAAAAACUAUGGUAAUGUACCUUGAACAGGAGGAGGAAGAGUAUCAACUUCAGACAAACAAGAAGAACCACUACCAGAAGAACCAAUAGAUCCUUCUUCCACAACCUUCUCUUCACCACCACCAGCUUUAUGUUUCCUCUGUUUCUCUGAUCUCUUCCUCUUAGCCUCAAGCCUCCUCAAACUCUGCAACUCCUUCCUCUUCCUCCACUCUUCCUCCGUUUCCACCGGCAACGAACAAGUCCUACUCAGCCCUGACCUAUCGUUGACCACCAAAUCAAGAACCGACGAAGACCUCAUGAGCCUCGUUUUCGCAAGUGGGUCAACACCAAAUCUUCCAUUGAGAGAUAGACCUAAGUCUAACUCAAUCUCUACCUCUCCAUCUUCCUCAGACAAUCUCUGUUUCUUCGACAUGAACCUCUGCAACAUAAUAACUUCGGUCGGAGAAUAUUAGAGAUCUCUCCUUUUCUCAACUUACGAAAAAUAUGUUUUAGAUUUUAGAUUAGAAAUUUCAACAGAUUCUUGAUGAUAAAGAGCAAUUCAAAUCCCAAGAAAAGAGCAAAAUAUCAAAUUUGGAAGAUUCCAUUUCUUCGGUUAAUGACGACCUUCCCUUUUUAUAAAUCCAAUAAAAAGUUUAUUUAAAUAAAUAAAAAAUUCCCAAAAAUUUUAACAUUUACCGAAAAAAUCUCCGACAAAUCUCGUACGAACACUCAAAAAAAAUUACGAAAAAAAAAUUAAGAGCUCGAGAGAAUUUAGAUAGAGAGAGAAGAGAAGAAAAAAGAGAGAAAAUCAAUCAACAAAAAGCUGUUUGUCUAAUUUGCGGAAGUUAAAAUACCGAAACUACCCUUGUUUGGUGCAUUAACGACACGUGGAAUCAUGGAAGACUCUGACCCAACCCAAGGACUUUGAGCACCCACGUGGUUUUCAUCGAGAAAACAAAGACAAUAUCGUACACGUGUCUUAUGUUCAGUGGUUGUUACGUUUUAAGAUGGGAUGUUGCAGCGUCAGGUCGUCACGUGUCUUUGUUUUUGUUUUUAAUUUAAAUCACAUUAUCUUUUUUCUGCUGCCACGUGUCUCACGAUGUUAUCUUCUCUCUUUUUUCUCUUGGUAAUUGACACGUGGAGAUUUGUUAGGUUUUGUAACCUAUCUGUCGCUUUAGUAGUUUCAUUUUGCUUUGGUAGGAGAUUUAUUUUUCGGGAAAAAUGUCAUUAAAAUCCCCAACUUAUUCAAAACGUUGAUUUAAAUCCUCAACUCACGACGAAACGAAAUAAAUAUCAAACUUAUGUUGACUUUCCAAAUAAAUAUUAAACUUAUGUUGAUUUUCCAAAUAAACACCAAACUUUCAUUGACUUGGCCAUAUUAGGCAUGACGUUAAGUGAGUUAACAGACAAUGUUAACGGGAUUAAUUUUCUGUUAACAGACCCGCUAAUUAAAAAUGACAGUAUUGUUGAACUAUAAUCAAAUCUCAUCUAAGUCAUAUAACCUAAAGGCGUAUUCAUAUAAGUUAGUUAUUUACGUAAGAGUCACGAAUGUACGUACGUAUAGUUGUAUCUGUUCGUAAAGUUAUGUCUUUUCGAUUAACAUCAUUGUGUGUAAUACGUUUUAUCUUAUCAAUAAAGAUCAAGUUUCUUCAUACUCUAUUUUUCAUUUUGGUUUUGUUCUCCAUACUCUGUUAAAACAGAGUUUGUUUGUUGAUCAAAACACUAACAAGUAUUCCUUCUAAACAUAAAACGACGUUGUUUUGUCGUAAAUGUUCAAUAAAAUCCCGAGUUUCAAAUCAUACUCUAUUUAGGGUUAGGGAUUUUGCUCGAUUUGGGGAUCUAAGAUUGACUUUAGAGAUUUGAUUCAAUCGUUACGACAAAACGACGUCGUUUUGUUGUUAUAUGAAACAAUGUCGUUAUCAAUUAACAUAUAUGUUAACAUAAAAUUACCUCCAUUAACGAGAUCUAUUAACCCACUUAACGUCGUACCUAAUAUGGCCAGGUCAACGGAAGUUUGAUAUUUAUUUGGAAAGUCAACAUAAGUUUGAUAUUUAUUUAGAAAGUCAACAUAAGUUUGAUAUUUAUUUCGUUUUGUCAUGAGUUGAGGAUUUAUUAACCCACUUAACGUCAUACCUAAUAUGGUCAGGUCAACGAAAGUUUGAUAUUUAUUUGGAAAGUCAAUGAAAGUUUGGUGUUUAUUUGGAAAGUCAACAUAAGUUUAAUAUUUAUUUGGAAAGUCAACAUAAGUUUGAUAUUUAUUUCGUUUCGUCAUGAGUUGAGGAUUUAAAUCAACGUUUUGAAUAAGUUGGGGAUUUUAACGACAUUUUUCCCUUUAUUUUUCUAUCGUAUAAGUAAAAGCAACUUGACGAACUUUAAAUAUAUAUAUUUUAAAUUGAAAAGUAACGAAAAGUAGAAUAUUUGACAAAAAGUUUGAAUUAAUUUUAAGUGUAUUUUUUCAAACGAUUAGUCAACAAUUACCAUGGUACGAUAGAAUAACGUUUUUAUUAUGUUAGUGGGAUGGUGGAUUAAAAUUUUUAUCUAUAUAGAAUAACCAUGACUAAGGACAAUCUAAUUUUCUUUUUCAAGGUAAUGACCGUGUUUGGAAUACUUUUGUAACAUGUCUUUUGUGCAAUUCUUGAGCAAUUAAGAGGAGCAAUAAAUGUUACAUCAUUUAUAUAUUAGAGUAAAAGUUGAGUAAUACUCCAUCUGUCCCAUUUUAUUAGAUGUUUGGACUAAAAGCAUAUUCCAUCCGUUUCAGUUUAGUUGUCGUUUUAGGAUUUAAAUUUUGUUUCAUAAUAGUUGUCGUUUUAGGUUUUCAAUGCAAAUGUUUGGUGAAAAUUCCAGUUUUAAUGUUUUGGCCAAUGACAUUUUUUAUAAAAUAUAUUAAUAAAGAGUAAAACAGAAAAUUUAAUGCUUUCUUAAUUUGUGUGAAAAAACCUUAAACGACAACUAAAACGAAACGGAGGGAGUAUAGAUUAAGAAACAAUAAAUGUUUUCUCAUUUAUGAAAAUUCAACCUAUAGAAGAAGAUAUUGCAUAAUUAAAAUAAUUAAAUAUUAUUAAACUAAUAUAAAUCAUGCAUUGAAAUUAGAGAAAAUCUUAUAUAAUGGAACAAAUGAAAAGGUCUAAAACAUCUUAUAUAUUGGGAUAGAGGGAGUAUAAAAAUUGCUAUAUUUAUGGAAUUUCAAAAAAAUAAAAUUAUUUUAGAAUUUUCUUUUACUGAAUUUUUUUAUAUUUGUAGAAUCGUGUUCUAGAUUGUCAUGUAUUAUACAACAAUUUUAAAUAUUUUUGAUAUUAUGAUUUUACAAUAGAUAAUAGCGAAAACAAGAGUUUAAUAAAUAUAUUUAGAAUAUCAGAAUGUAUAUAUAAUUUUUAAAUAAUAGGUUAGAUAAUAUGGUUAUGGAAUGUCACCGUUGCUAAUGUACACCACAUCAUCGGUUUCGUCAUAUGAUGCAACCUUAGAUAAAACCGUAAUGGCUGAAGCAGAAUAUUGGUCAAAAUAUUAGAAGCACGUAGAGACAGUAAUCAGCGGCUAUAAUCGCUAGUUCGAGUGAAACAACCUAUAAACCUAGAUAAUUCGGAUAUAUAAAAUUACAACAUGAUCGAAUAAAGACUAUAAUCGUGUUUGAGUAUAUCGUGUAAUUAUAAACAGUUUUGGACAAUAUAUAGAAAUUUUUGUUUUCGAUUUUUUAUAACUUUAGUAAUUUUAAGAACUUUUAGAUAAUUUAGGUAAUUUUAUUAAUUUAAGAACAUAUGUGAGAUCCAUGUUUAGAUAACUGUGGAUGUCGGAUUCACACACUCAAGUAUUUUUAUUAAUGGGAAAGAUUAUUCUUGAGGGACAAAAAAUAAGAAUGUCAAAGGCUUAUGAAUUGCUACAAAAAUUGAUAUAGUAUUUCUUGCUCGAUAGAGAUCCCCUUUUACAUGGCCAUUGGCCUCUAUACUUAUACCUAGAAAAAUGACAUUUAAAUGGCUAAUUAAGUACAAUUAUUCUCUCUUAAAUGUGUCCGUUUUGAUUCUUUGACUUUAAUGCUCAACGUUUGAAUUUGAGUUGACUCUGGUCUUUAUGGGCCUCGCCUUUUGGCCCAAGUGUCCUUGGACCGACUUAACCAUGACUUCGUCUCCGGACUCGUAUCGAGGUGCAAUCACUUCGAAUUCUCCUUAUGGUGGUAACCACUUCGAUUGUUCUUUUGACUUGUGGGUCUAGUGGGCUUUAUCCUUAAUGGGCCAUUACCCCGACUACGUGGCAAUCUUUGGUUGGUCCUGGACCUCUGGUGCGGGAUCCGACACCAACAAUUAGCCCCCCAAGUUCUUCGAAGUGCCAUUCCAAUUCGAAGGACUUUAAAUGCUUAAAUGACCAAAGAUUGCGCUCGAGAAUCUUUCUGAUUUCCCGCCGAAAAUCUCAUCACUCCUUUAAUUCCGGCACUAGCCAUUUUUAACCAAGUGACAUCUGUCAUCAUUAUGACCGCAUAGUAAUUAAUUACUAUUAAAACGGAAAAAAACCUUCUCACUUCCCACACAACUUCCGAGGCGGUUUCAUCAUUUAGCUUGUGUAAGGUAACUUCUUUUCACCACCAUUUUCUUCUUUUACUUUUGUGCUUUAAUCAAAACUUCUCUCUACUUUUCUUCGCCGAACCUCUCUUCGCCGGAUCUUGAAUUUUUCAUUUUUCUCCGAUGACUUCCGAUUCUGAGAGACCUGAAUCUCCGUCUUACGAUGAGAGGCGCUCCAGCAAUGACGAAUGCACUCGUCCUAACGAUAUUGCCGGUCCUCAUUACAAAUUCACCUGUACUCUUCAAUCCCUUGAGCGAUUAAAGGGGCUUUGUCAAAUUCCUCCUGGAAUCAUAGCGGAGGCACAGAUAGCCGAUCCCACGGAAUUCCCGGAGAACCACCGCAACGGCUACUUUUGUGUUUAAGAAAUCUACUUCAAGGGCUGCGGAUUGACCUUCCCCCUUCCCGAAGCCCUAGUUCGAUUCUUGGCAGCUCUUGAGAUUGCUUUACCUCAACUAACCCCCAAUCUCCUCCGAACCAUCCUCGGGAUUAUAACCGUUGCGGCGGAAGCUGGCUACGUCAUUGGAGUCCCCGAGCUGAAUGAACUCCUAAGUGUAAGGAGUUCAUCAAAGAAAACAGGGUACUUCUCGGCGUAUCCAAAUGCCAACAGGAACAUUAUUUCGCACCUCCCGAACAAAGAUGAAAACUGGCACCAUCCUUGGUUCCUGAUUAAGAAAACUCCUGCUUUAAUUGGAAAUCUUUCUGAUGUACUCCCAUCGAAGUGGUCUGCGAAGCCUGGUAGAAAUUAGGUCGUAUAUUCCUUCCUUGGUUGUUUUAUUUUUUACUGACCAAACUCGUUGUUUUCACUUCACAGCUGUCAUCGCUUCGACUCUUCCGACUGAAGAAUUCGUCAAGUUCUUCAAAACAAUCCUUGAAGGGGAAACCCUUUGGAACUCUUUCACCCUCGAUCGGUUUGUCGAGGCCAACCGAAAACUCAAGAUGAGUCCUCCCAAUCUACUUCAUCGUCUUCCGCCUCCUCCCUCAACUCAGGGAAUGUCAGCUCGGGCCCUUACUGCCCAGCGUAAGAAACUCUCCAAGCCGAUAGUAGAGGCUUGUGAUGAAAACAAGGCGUUCCUUGCCGCCGCCAUUGACAAAAAAGACUACAGCAGGACCCUGCUGGUUGAUGAUAACAGCGCCGAGGGAUCCAGAUCCGUUGCUGCUUAUAGGUUAACACCUCGUCGCGAACGUCGUGAAAGCGAUCUCCUCGUCGUGAUUCUCUUCGUCCUACCCGAGACGAUUUUAGCAAUGAACCACUUAAGAACUUGGUUCGCAGGAAGAAGGACAAGUCAUCCCGUAGUGACUCUUCUCUGCGAAGGGAGAAAUCAAGGGCCCGGACUGACCGUUCACCUCGAUCAUCCCCUCCCACUGAACCAAUGGGUCCUCCCCGACCUGUUGGUAUGUCUUCUUCUUCCCAGCCCGAUAGCGAAAAGACUGCUCGGAGUGCAUCUCCUAAAAAAGGAGAUUCUGAAUCUCGAGAUGCUUCCUCGAGGUUAAAGCCUGCUCUUGUCCCUCAAGUCAAAUCGCUUUCAGGUUUGGUGAUUUACACAUACUUAAACGUUUUUGUUUCUAUUAAGAUUCCAAUUUUUACAACUCCUCCUCCUUCGCAGCUAUGGAGAAAGAGGGCAGCGUCUUCCGAUGCUUCAAGACCCGAUCGGGUUCGAUUUUGCCAGACUUCGACAAGUGGCGCCCUGCAAUUCGUGAACGCUAUCUGCUUCAUGCUCAUCAUUCAUCUCGGGUUAGUUCCGCUUUGUUUUUCCGAUUAUGCUGCCGUUCAUCGAAAUGUCUCACCAUCUCGAUUUCAUGCAUAAUGGCAGGCUAAAAAAUCAAAAAAGAGGCCCCUCCCCCAAGGCCUGAUUGAACAUUAUGAGGGGCUGGUCCUUGGUCGGGAAAAUGAGAUUGACGCGUGGAAGAAAAAACUUUCUGCUCUUGAGGCUGAACUAAGCUCUUCUACCGGCUCCAAGAACGAUCUGGAGGACAAGGUCGAUAGUCUGACAUCCGAGCUGGUGAAGAUUAAGGGGGAGCUGCAGGACCAGUAUGACCAAAAUUUCAAACUCCAGGAUGAGCUUUCUGGUGUUCAGGGUAGGCUUCACGAAUCCGAAUCAACCGCCGAUACCUUGAAUAACCAACUUAUUGAGCUUAACGCGAAGUACAAGGCGAUUGCCAAAUUGCGUGAUUCCGAGUUGGCAAGGUCGGCAUCGAAAGCCAGAAAGGAAGUUAAGGGACGCAGGAUGGAGUUGAUCCAAGGGGCCGUCCGCUUCAUGCGGACCGAGAAAGCUAGGUCAGAUUUGGAAUCAGACAUCAAGGAGCAUGAGAGCAACCUGAUUCUGUUGGAUCAAAUCCAUGAAACAGAUUUCUCCGAGGAGCAAGAAAGGACCGAACUGUCGGCUAAUCUUUCUGAAAAGCGGAGUCGCUUGGCAGCUCUUCCCACUUCGACCUUCAACCCGCAGGACUUCGAGGAAUUCUUCACUGAAUCGCCUCCUAUAAGUGAAUCGGGUCUAGACUGGGCAGGUAACACUUGGCUCCUGAUUCUUACUACCUUAUGUUGUUUUUUUUAAAAAAAAAAAGAUAAUUGACUGGAACUGCCCUUCCCAGGCUCAAGUGAGAUGGAAGAUGUCGUCCCACCUGAAGUCCCUGUGGCAGCGGAGGUCACCCCAGAGGAUGGUGGUACUGUGGAGGGCGGACCAGGAGCCCCAUCUGACCAAGCGCCAGUCAAGGAGGCGGAUGAAACUUCGACUGCCGAGCCGGAGUCCGAGGUGGCUGUUACUUCGUAGUGGCUGCGUCCACUUUAAAUUGGGAAUUGUCCCAUUUAUUUUUAAAACUUAAUUUCGAACUUGUUUUUGCCUAAGGAGGCUUUAUUAUUUCCUUUGGACAAGAUACUUGCCUGAGGAGGCUUUUAAACCUUUCUAGGUUUUGACCCCAAGGGGGUUUGGUUAAAAUUAUAUACGGGUUUGCAAAGUCCGCUUUUAACCCUUUGUGGCCUUGUGGUUAUGCUUUCGAGAUUUUUAGGCUGAUCAGACCUUUCUCUUUAGAAUGCGAGAACUGAGCUCGGCUUAAAGCGAGUUCCCCACUUCGGGUUUAGUCAACUCGAUAAUUUAAUUGGGCUUGGGCCUUAGAAACUUUUGUAGUUAAUGCGACGGUUGCUCUUUCCCUUCUUAUUUCUUAAAAGUAGGAAAACGGCUCGUCUUUAAUGCAAUAACUGCCUUUUCUCGAUUUUCCAAAAAUGGUUUAAACCACUCGGGCACACUAUCAUUAUUGGAUUUAUGGUUCCAAGACAAACCCUAAACCAUUAUAAAUAAAGGCUUACCUACCUCUAAGCUUUCUUUAAAUACGAUUUUAGAAUCUUACUUGAGAAAUAUUACGAGAAUGGAAAACGAAAAAGUAGCCCCCAUUGAUCCCGGCAGCCCACUCUUCUUGUCCGGCGAUGGCUUUGAACCGGCCGGCGUUCUUUUUCCUCACGCCGUCUUUCACUUUCCUUCAAAGGAGAAGAAAGAGGCUUGCGACUUUAUUGACAAGGUUAAUAUCUGUCGUCUUUGAUUAAAAGCUUUUUGUUUCAUCUUAUUCAUUCAUCUUUAUGCUAGGUUGCCGACAAACACCGUCGCUUGUGUGAAGAGAGGCAGCGGCUAGGCCUCAAAAGGCAAACACUCGAGGCUCGCAUUGCUCGGGUGGAGAGGAAGAUACGGGCUUUGGAAAGUGACCCCUUUCAAUGGGAAUGGCGGAACUUCGAUUCUGUUGCUGAGAUCCCGAAGAUGCUUCGGAUGUAUCUCCGUGCUAGAGGAGUUCCGGGUCCUGUGAAUGCUCCGGUCCAUACCGUUCCAUCUGAUAGCGAGGAAGAAGACGAAGAGGAGGCCAGCACCAGUCGGAAACGCGUUCGGGAUUGUUCUGAGGUGGACGCCAAGAACAAGGCGUCCACUUCGAAAACUAAAACGGCGAUGAAGGAGCCUGUUCCUGAGCCUCUUCCAUAAAUGUUCUCUAACCUUUCCACUCACUUUGAACUCAUAAUGGGCUUUGGUCCUUUUUUAUUUAUGGAAACAUUUGCAACUUUCCUUUCUCUUCAAAUAUUCUCGGAGAUGCGUCUUUUAAUGCAGGAUUGGUUUAAGGGCAUAAAUCUCGCCGCGAAUCACUCCAUUUCCGGGCUGAAUCUGCUGCUUGCUAGGGAUAUGAAGUCCCUAUAAAUUACAGCUUCAACUUCCCUUUACUUCUCACUAUUCUUAUUACUUCUACAGAUAUGGAUUUUAACCUUUGAUGUUCGGAGUCUAUGCCGGACUUCUCUAGGAUCGGAAUGAUGGACGAAGAUGUUCCAGAUGUUCCAAGUAGACGAUCUUCUCCACUUCGCGGCUUUUUCAGAUCUCAGAUCCGAGCUCCAUGCGCUUUGAUCAAGAACCUUCCAGAUAGAGACCGGGAGAUUGCGAUGGCCUUUAUCAAAGCGCUCGCAAUUCAACACAGGAAGCUAUCGCUGGAAAAGAAAAAACUUCGGAAGAAGAUUCAUCGAAUGCAGCGCAGGGUCACUGUGAUAUCAAGGGAUCUUCACAUCCUUAGUUCUCACCCCGGAGAGUGGAUUGAGCUCAGAAUCUCCGAAUUUGCUCGUAUCCCGGAUUGUAUGAUGCCAGUUCUUGAUCUUGCUGGUCAAGGAGUUCAAGUGUUCUGCUCUCCGGGAGGGUUUUCCUAACUCGAAGUGUGCGAAGAUCGACACUUUGUCUUGUUCGUUUGAAUAAAUGUUUUGCUUCCGAUCUCUUGUAUGUUCGCAUAGCCGAACCUUUACUUGCUUCAAUUGUUCGCUCGGUCGAACCCUUUCCUUUAAUACAGAAAUAAAACAAAUUUUUAUUAAUAGCUGAACUCGUUUCCGAGCUGCCUACGUACCCAUUUCGGGAUCAAGCCACACCGUAGUUCAUGUACAUAAAAAAUGCAUGUAGCUUUAAACAUAAAAAUUCUUUAGGUUGAUCACAUUCCAAGGUCGCUUGACUGGCCUGUCUUCUAAGUCUUUCAAUCUAUAAACACCGUUCCGAACCACUUCGGUAAUAAUGUAAGGUCCUUCCCAAUUAAUACCGAGUUUACCGGCACCUUCUUCUUUUUUUGUUGUCAAAGACACGCCUUAACACAUAAUCUCCCACGAAGAACGGCCUACUUUUAAGUUUAGAAUUGUAAUAUCGGGCUGCUGGCUGCUGGUAAUUCUGAAUCCGAAUCAAAGCUUGAUCACGCCUUUCAUUUAUGGUAUCUAGUGAAUCAUUAAGCAUUGCUGAAUUUUCUUCCUCAUUUAAUGGUGCUUCUGUUCGGCGAAGUCCGGGCACGUUGAGUUCAGCUGGUACUACUGCCUCCAUGCCAUAAACCAAAGAGAAUGGAGUUUCUCCGGUAGGUCGCCUAGGGGUUGUACGAUAAGCCCAUAGGACGGGUUGGAGUUCUUCGUACCAUCCUCCCUUUAGAUGAUUCAAACGUUUCUUGAGAUUGCUCAAUAUCGUCUUGUUCGCGGCUUCAGCUUGACCGUUUCCUUUCGGAUAUCGUGGAGUAGAGUAACUAACUUUGAUUCCCCAGUCCGCACAAAAAGCAUCAAACUCUUGUGAAAUGAAUUGUGGCCCGUUAUCGGUGACUAUUUCAUACGGAACUCCAUGUCGACAUAUAAUAUUCUUCCAAAUGAAAGUCUUUACCGCCGAAUCCUUGAUGCCAACAUAUGCCUCAGCUUCAAUCCAUUUCGAAAAGUAGUCCGUCAAGACCAAAAGGUAUUGUACACCUCGAGUUGAUCUGUGCAAUGGUCCAAUGAUGUCCAUUGACCACCUCAUAAACGGGUACGGGGCAGAGAUGGAAGAGAAUAACUCCGAAGGUUGAUGGAUCAAUGGUGCAUGAAGUUGGCAGCGCUUACAUCUUUGGGCAAAUUUAACGCAAUCCGUGAUCAUAGUGGGCCAAUAGUAUCCCAUUCUUUUAACUUUAAAAGCCAUAGCUCUUUUCCUGAUGAAUGACUCCCACAUAAUCCUUCAUGCACUUCGCUCAUGACGAUUUCGACUUCGGGCCCAAAAAUGCAUAAUAGGUAAGGGUCACUGACACCUCGUCUAUAUAAUGCAUCCUUUGAUAAACAAAAUUUCGCGCUAACGAUUUUCAUUUUCCUGGCCUGCCACUUAUUCUUUGGGAGCUCGCCUGUCAUGAUGUAGUGCUUUAUUGGCUCCCUCCAGUCAGCCCCCCAGUCUUUAGCCGGAAUUUGGUCAACCUUGUGAAAUACUCGUGGUUCUGGCGCGGGAUGCUCGUUUGGUUCAAGAACAUCCUCCUCGAUUAACAGCUCGGUUUCUAAUAUCGUUUCUGGAAUCACAUCUUCUGCUAAGACAACGGGUUCCUUGUUAGAUGUGUUUGAUCCCUUUGACUUCCUCCGUUUGUUGGGUGGCGGUUCGAUCUCUGGUUCGCCACUGUCACGUGCCGCUGCUCGAGACCUUGUAAUGACGAGGGUUUCUUUGUUGUCUUGAAUGCUUCGCUCCGAAAUGCAUUCCACUGGAAUAACUCUUUUCAACUCAGGAUCUGAUGUUGACGCCAAUGCGGCAAGUGCGUCCGCAGUUGUAUUCUCACCCCCGAGGUAUGCGGAUUAAUUCGAAUUUCGAGAAAUUUUUAGAUAGAUCCUUCACCACUUCGAGGUAUGCUUCCAUUCUUGAGUCUUUGGCUUCAUACUCUCCAUUAAAUUGGUUAACUACUAAUUGCGAAUCAUAAUAAGCCACUAUUUCCUUAGCUCCAACUCCUUGUGCCAAUCAGGGCUUCAUAUUCUGCCUCAUUAUUGGAGGCAGAAUAUGACAAUCGGAAUGACUGUUCUAGAAUUUCUGAUGUUGGAGACUCCAACUUGAUUCCCACUCCGGAUCCUUGCUUUGUUGAAGACCCAUCUACAUGUAAUUUCCAAGUUUGGUUCUCCGGUUGCUCUAUCGUUCCAGGUAUUGGUAGCUCGGUCAAGAAGUCUGCUAAAACCUGAGCCUUCAUACUGAUCCGGCUUUUGAAUUCUAUAUCGUACUCGCUUAAUUCCACCGCCCAUUUCGCCAAACGUCCGGACUGACUUGGACUAUGAAGUAUUGUUCGGAGUGGCUGGUUGGUUAAUACUUCAACCGGAUGGGAUUGAAAAUAUGGGCGCAACUUCCGAGCCGAAGUUACCACCGCGAGUGCGAGUUUUUCCAUCAUUGUGUAUCUGGUUUCCGGAUCUGUCAUUGACUUACUUACGUAAUAAAUUGGUUUCUAUUCCCCGCGGUCCUCCCGAACCAAGACUCCACUAACCGCAUGGUUUGAAACCGACACGUACAAAUAAAGUUUUUCAUCCGCUUCUGGUUUGGAGAGUAUAGGUGGAGUGGUUAAGUAUGCCUUAAGCUGCCCAAAAGCUUCUUCACACUUCUCGUCCCAAAGGAAUCCUUUGUUUCCUUUUAGAAUUUGGUAGAAAGGUAACGACUUAUCUGUUGAUAUUGAGAUAAAACGAUUCAAAGCCGCGAUCCGCCCAGUCAACCGUUGUACUUCCUUGAAGUUUCUUGGAGAUGGCAUAUUUAGAAAAGCGUUAAUUUGAUUUGGAUUGGCUUCAAUCCCUCUUUCUGUCACAAUAUAGCCAAGAAAUUCUCCGGAUGGGACUCCGAAUGUGCACUUCGCCGGGUUCAGCUUCAUUUGAUAUUUAUUGAGAAUAUCAAAACAUUCCUCUAAAUGCUUAAUGUGAUCUUCUUUCUUUAAUGAUUUAACCAACAUAUCAUCUAUGUAGACUUCCAUUGUCUUUCCGAGAUGAUUAUGGAACAUUUUGUUAACCAACCGUUGGUAAGUUGCUCCUGCAUUUUUCAAACCAAAAGGCAUUACCUUGUAACAAUAGAUACCUCUAUCAGUGAUAAAUGACGUUUUUUCUUGGUCUUCGGGGUUCAUCAUUAGUGGACUCUACAAGUCGAUCUAUAUGUGGGAGCGGGAAACUGUCUUUGGGACAUGCUUUAUUGAGGUCUGUGAAGUCGAUGCAAACCCUAUCUUUCCCAUUCUUCUUCUUGACAACGACAGUGUUUGCUACCCAUUCCGGAUAUUGCACUUCUCUUAUGGACCCUAACUUCAAAAGUUUAUCCACUUCGUCAUUUACUAUCUUUGCUCGCUCCACUCCAAGCUUUCUUCUUUUUUGUUUCACCGGUUUGAAGCUCGGAUCCACGUUUAGUUCAUGACAAAUUAUACUUGGAUUUAUGCCAGGCAUGUCCGCUGCUGACCACGCAAACGAUGUUUUGUUUUUCCUCAAGAGUUCGAUCAAAGCUUCUUUUAUUUGGCCAGUCAAAGUUGCCCCAAUUCGGAUUUUCCGGUCCGGCUUGUCUUCUUCCAACACCACUUCGAUUACUACAUCGUCUUUCUUCUGCCCGCUAGGAAAUUUUGUUCUUAGUCCCUCUUUUGCGGGCUAUGUUAAUUGCUAUUGAAUCUUUAUACGGUGGCUAGCUAGAUAACACGUCCGUGAAGCUUCUUGAUCUCCCCGAAUUGUUUCCACUCCUCUUGGUGUUGGAAAUUUGAUACAUUGAUGAUAUGUAGAGGGGACUGCUUUCAUUUGAUAAAUCCAAGGAGUCCCGAGGAUGAUGUUGUAAGCUGCGGGCUUAUCGAAGACAACGAAGUCCACGAUCUUCGAUACCUUUUUGGCAAGGACCGGUAGCUUGAUUGUCCCGAGAGACAUGACUGACUCACUUGUGAAUGCAACUAAUGGAGACGGAGGCCCCACUAUGUCCGCCCGACUAAUUCCCAUUCUUUCUAAAGUACUUAAAAAGAUCAAGUCGACCGAACUGCUUGUAUCUAUAAGGAUCCUUGAUACUUCGAAGUUGGCAACGUCAAGGGUAAUGACUAGAGCAUCAUCAUGAGGUCUUUCGAGGUGCCGCGUUUCUUCUUCAUUAAAUGAUAUUGAUGCACCUUGAAAAUCGACUUCUUCGCUCAAGCUUGCUUUGAGUAGGACAUUUCGUCUAUGUUUCUUGAUGGAACUUAUCGAAUCUCGACAAAAUUUGGAACCUCCUAGAAUAACAUUGAUCUUACCCUUAGAAUUCCUUGGUUCUUCCUCGUUGGUUAACCUUGGUCUUUUGGAAUUUUGAUCUUUGGAAUUUUCCUUUGCUUCGUGGUAUUCCUUCACAAAAUCUUUUAUAUCGAAUUUGGAAAGAUCUCCACUAGCCCAAAGCUCUGCGAGGUGCCUUUUAAGAACGCUACAAUCCUUGGUUAAAUGUCCGGUCACUUUAUGAAUGUCGCAAUAUAAACUUUCAUCACGGACCCAAGUGUUUGAUCUUCCUUUCCCUUGGAAUUGCUUUCCGACGGUACUGUUGAAGGGUUGCGACCCAAAUUUCUUUGGUCCUUUGUUCUCCCUAGGUUCGAACUUCUUGGUAGGGACGGUGAUUGCCGGCUUCUCUUGCUUAUUUCUUUUGGCAAAAUUUUCUUUUUCGUCCUCUACCUCCAUCCAGUUGUUUGUGCGGAAGAGUGCAUCCUGAAUUGUGUCUGGUUUAUGAAGUAUUAAAUCUUCUUUAAAUCUUGAAUCAUGUCGCAAUCCUUUUCGUAAGGCAGAUAAAGCUGAUUGUUGUGAGAUUCUUGGGAGCUUUGACAGCACUCCUUUGAAUUUGGUGAUGAAAACUCGAAGUGAUUCAUUUGAUCCUUGUGAUAAGUUUCAAAGAUCGGCAUCCAAAACGCUUUUAUCCAUAAGGAUGGAAUAUUGCUUUAAGAAUACAGCUGAUAGCUCGUCGAAAUUGCUGAUCGAACCCGGCUCUAAUUGGGUGAACCACAUUAAAGCUUGGCCGCAUAGAUUUUCCGAAAAAAGCUUGCAGUAACCUGCAUCCUCAUCAGCUUCAUCCAAUUCGACUCUUCCAGCAGCGAUCAGAAAAGCUGCGAGAUAGCUCUUUGGAUCCUCCAAUCCGCUGUAAGGGUCCAACUUGAGCUUCCGGGAAUCUUUGAUUCUCAAACUCGCAAUUCGCGAGAUGAAAGGUGUUCGCCUAGCUUCUUCAAUGACUCGAUUGAUAUCCGGCUCCGAACUUGUAGCCUGAUGGAACUAUGACUUCAUUUCUUUUAGUUCUUGGCUAACCUUCCUCAUAGUCUCGAACUGGUCGAGGUUUUCCUGCUCGUAUUGAUCUGCAAGUUGAGCUUCAUCUUCGAGCUGUGCCUCUCCAUCCAAUGGCUGAACUACAAUAUUAGUAGUACCAGGAGUUGUUUGUCCACUGGUUUCAUUUCGCGCAACGGAAAUUGGCGAGUUGAGUAUCCUCCUUCGGAUUCCCACAGGAUUUCCUGCACUUAAAGAGCGAACACGAGUUUGUAUAGUACUGACGUUUUGACUAAGAGAUACCUGGGAUGUUUGCAACGUAUCGACAGCCUUUUCCACAUCCGAGAACUUUUGUGAUAUGUCCGACAUGGUUUGCUGCAUAGCUUUGAGGAUUUCGGCCAAUGAUGUCUCAACGGCGUCUCCUCCGGACAUUGCUGCUUAUCUCGGGAAUGUAGUAAAGAAAAAUCUGACCACUCAAGAAUCCUCUAUCCCCACAGACGGCGCCAAAAUGUGGAUGUCGGAUUCACACACUCAAGUAUUUUUAUUAAUGGGAAAGAUUAUUCUUGAGGGACAAAAAAUAAGAACGUCAAAGGCUUAUGAAUUGCUACAAAAAUUGCUAUAGUAUUUCUUGCUCGAGAUAGAGAUCCCCUUUUACAUGGCCAUUGGCCUCUAUACUUAUACCUAGAAAAAUGACAUUUAAAUGGCUAAUUAAGUACAAUUAUUCUCUCUUAAAUGUGUCCGUUUUGAUUCUUUGACUUUAAUGCUCAACGUUUGAAUUUGAGUUGACUCUGGUCUUUAUGGGCCUCGCCUUUUGGCCCAAGUGUCCUUGGACCGACUUAACCAUUACUUCGUCUCCGGACUCGUAUCGAGGUGCAAUCACUUCGAAUUCUCCUUAUGGUGGUAACCACUUCGAUUGUUCUUUUCACUUGUGGGUCUAGUGGGCUUUAUCCUUAAUGGGCCAUUACCCCGACUACGUGGCAAUCUUUGGUUGGUCCUGGACCUCUGGUGCGGGAUCCGACACCAACAAUAACUAUAUGUCAAAUAUAAUAACUUCAAAUUUCGUGAAAAUUCAACUUUGUUUUUUACAAGUUACAAGUUAUUCAUAAUGUUAUUUAUAUUUAAUAAAUUUAUUAGUUUAUUUAAUUAAUUUUCAUGGCCAAUUAUUUCUAAUUAAUAAUUUAAGAAGUUUAUUUAAUUAGUUCAUUUAAAAAAAAAAAAUUCAGAUUCAACUAUUACUAUUUAAAUUUUAAAUUACUCAGCUAGAUUUCAUAAAAAUUCAUAAAUAAAUUAAGCAAUUCAUGUAGAUCAACUAGAUUAUACGGUUUUUUGACAAAAAAAAAAAAAAACUAGAUUAUUCGGUUAUUACUUACAUCUUUUAGUAAUACAGAUUAUGUUGAAUGUAGUACCCCCACUAGUCAUAGUCGUUCGACGACUGGCUCAUACUAGGUUUACCGGCGGAUUCACCACCGGCUCCGGCUUUGGAAGACUAGCCAUGAAAAAGAAAGAAAUCACCGAACGAGUACAUAUCUAAUUUUGAAAGAGAGUCAGAAAAAUUUUGGAGAGAGAGAGAGAGCGAUAUUUUUUUGUGUUGCGUGCUGGGCUUUUUAACUUUAAUUUUCAAAUUUUCGUUAUCUAAUUAAAUUACUAAAUAAAUUGUUAAAACGAAAGAAUAAAAGGUAAUAGGUAACAUUUUGAUAUUUUUCUAAGAACUAACUAACAACGAAAUAAAAAUAUACCGUACAUACAAUUGUUGAAAAUCACAACAUAUGAUAAAAUAUGUUUGACUAUUCGAAGCAAACAAAAUAUUUCACAAAUGUUUUUUUUAACAAAAGAAAAUAAAAUCACCAAUGUUGUACUGAUUUUGAGAAUUUCAAAAAUGUAUUUUUAACAAAAGCAAAUGAAAUCACCAAUUAAUGUUGUACUGAUUUUGAGAAGACUUCCACCCACAAAAUCGUCACUAAUUCGUAUCAGUUAACCUUUUGUUGGUUGAAUACAACAAAUUAGCGAUUGACGUAAUUUUUAUUGUUAAGUUUUAUUUUAAUCAUUGUUAAUCUAACAACGAACUAAUGAAAAUAAUUUAGGUUUUUAGUGAUGACAUCUUAGGAGUUAGGACCAAUCAAUUUUUCCAUUCAAACUCAUAUAAAAACGUAAAUAUUGCAACAUGUAAAUCUAUUACUAAUAAAAUGAGCUCAUUAAGGCUUCUCAAAAUGUCCACAUUAGAUUUUUUGAAAUGCUCUCUCUAACUACCAUGUCAUCAAGAUAUUUAAUUUUUUUUUUUAAACAAAAAAAAAAAACUGUCAUCUCAUCAAGCUUUCUAAUUUUUUUAAAGCAAAAGAAUUUUUUUUUUUUUUAAAGUUGUCUAGACUGAUAAAAAAUGUUAAUUAAAAAAAAUUAUGUUAGAUAUUUGUUAAUUAUUUUAAUAUUUACUAAGAUAUAGAUUUGAUAUGGUAUACAUAUUAUUUUGAUAUAAACUUUUUAGCAUUUUUUUUUCUCUAUAGACAAAUCUAUUACUAAUAGAAUGAGUUCAUUGAGGCUUCUCAGAGUGUCCACAUCAAAUUUCUUGAAAUGCUCUCUCUAACUGUCAUGUCAUCAAGAUAUUUAAUUAUUUAAAAAAAAAUAAAAAAAAAACUGUCAUCUCAUCAAGCUAUUUAUUUUUUUAAAAGCAAAAGAAAUUUAGUUUUUUUUUAAAGUUGCCUAGACUGAUAAAAAAUAUUAAUUUCUUUCUUCUCCAUAGGCAAAAGCACUUUAUUUUUAAAAAAAAAAACAUAAUGAUUUUUCUUGGAUUUCAAAUAAAAUGACUUAAAGUUACAAAAAAAGAAAGAAAUGAAUUAAAAGAAACAUAAUAUUUUAUAAUUUACUUAUGAGUUGGCAAUGUUCAAAUUUUUAAUGAGACUUUUAUAAAUUUUUGUUCAUUUUAAAAAUCGAUAUUAGUUAAACUAGGAAAGAACUAAUUUUGAAUACAUUAGGAAUCUUUAUACAUAAGCUAAUAUUUUUAAAAAAUUACAAAUAUUGGUUUUGGUAAGUUUAUGUAAUGGUAAAAUGUGUUUGGUUUUUAGUUUUAGAAUAUAAGUAUAAAGAUAUUAGAAUCAAAAGUGUUGGGAAAGAGAAUAGUAGAAUUAGAAAAAAAUAGUUGAGAAAAAUGUGAGGUUGCCACAUCAGCAGUAAAAAAACUUUUUAAUAUAUAAAAGAUUAGUCUCUAUACAUAAUUGAACAAUAUGCUACUAAUCCAAUAAUACAAAAUUAGCUUCUACAAGACUACACCAUAUAUAUUUCCUAAAUAAAUUUUAAAAAUUACCCACCAUUAAGUUUAAUAUGUUUACUACAUAUAAUCCCAACUAAUCAAUUAAACCCAACAACAACAAAAAAAUUAUUCAAAACAAAUCUGUAAAAAACAAAACCUCGAAGAAAAUGAAUUAAAAAAAAUUAGUGAAAACAAAUCCAAAGUUUAUUUUGGUUUUAAAAAAAAUUCAAAUGUUCUAAAAACAUAUUUCUAUUACAUUCCUUUUUUAAAAAUAAUUAUGUUUCUAAAAAAACUAAAAACAAUAAGAAACAUAGAUAUUUUUCAUAAGGGAAAAAACUUGAAAAAAUCGUCAUCUAUUUUUUAUUUGGUCGUUUAUUACGUGUAGUUUUAAAAUUGAAAUAAAAAUACCUCGUUUAACUGUUAUUGUCUUUUAAAUUUUUUGUUUUUUAAAUUUUGGUAGAUUCGUAUCUCUGCGUUAUCUUAACGAUGACAACGGAAUUGCUAACUGCAGUUAAAACUUAACAUAUGGCGUUUUUAAUCGUAUAUAUACAAUUUUUUUUCUAAACGAAGAAUAUAUUGUCUUAGUCUGGUUGUUAUACGUGGGUUAAAUGGUCUCAUGAGGAUGAGCCUGAGUUCGAAUCCACCUUAGUCCAAUUUAAAUGUUUUAAUUUUUUAUUUUUUUUAGUUUGACUCUGUUUAAUCCACCAUAAUCAUCCAGCUCUUUAAGUUCGAGAAAAUCAAAGAAAGAGAGAGAAGAAUGGAGGUGGUGGAGAGGACGACGGAGAUGGCGAAGGAAUGAUGUACAAUGAUGAGAACACAGAACCGGACAUGGAACCAAAACGUAGAGCAUCGAACCAGACAAGAAUCCCAUACCACAAGUACCAAGAGUAAACUGCAGUUGUUUGAUUUAAUUGUUUUUAUUUCGUUUUUCUUUGUUUCAGUUUGUUGAAUAAAGACUUGGUCUCCUAUCUUUGAGGAACCAUUUCCCAUUUCACAUUUCCCAUUUCCCUUCAAGGUGGAGAUCGUGUGUGAUCUUACCGCCACUUUGUCUUUCCCUUUUGCUAUUUAAUCAAAGAAAAAAAACACAAAAAAUAAGUAGUCUUAACUAUCCAAAAAUCAUUGAUUUUGUUUGUUCUAAGGAGCAAUUCUCUUAGCUUUGAAGAGGGACCAUUACUUGGUAACAAAGCACUUUUUUCUUUUCAAUCAUUACACUCCGGCGUUCUAAGCGGAAGGGGAAGCAGGUCGUGUCUCUGGAGGAAUCCGUCGAGCCGAUGGCGACCAACAAGAAACGGUUGGAGGAAUAGGAGACAAAUCAAGGAAUGAUGGAAGAUGAGUUACAAAAGAUGAAUGUGGCCAUGGUGGAUCUAAAGGGAGAUUUGGAAGACAAAUUUGCACGGUUGAUGGAAACCAUGAGCCACCAUGACAAUGGUGGGACAUCAGGGUCACGGGAGAGCCGCAUGACAGAGGGGAAUCCGAGUCACGCGACGGGGUACCGGGGAGAUCAAGAGAAUCCAUUCGCGACUAAUCCAGUACCGGCGAAGACCGUGAAGCUUGAUUUCCCAAGGUUCUAUGGAGGAAAUCCGACGGACUGGGUGAGCAAAGUCGACCAAUACUUUGAUUACCAUGAGACUCCACAUGAUCAAUUGGUGCGCUUCACAUCAUACCACCACGAUGGCGUGGCCAAUAGGUGGUGGCAAGCUACAGCGAGAGCGCUCCGCAACGACCGCAUUCCAAUCACCUAGGAUGUGUUCCUGAAGGAGUUAUAGGCAAGGUUUGGUUCACAUGAGGGAGAAAAUUUCCACGAAGCAUUGAUGCAGCUUCGACAGACGGGAUCGUUGAAUGAGUAUCAAGAGGAGUUUGAGAAACUCUAGAGCAACGUGUACGGAUGUUCAUAGGAAGCCUUGGUGGGGGCGUUCAUGGGCGGUCGGAAUCACUCCAUUUCUGAGGGAAUUCGCAUGUUCCGGCCAAAAACACUUAGGGAAGUGAUUAAUUAUGCGAGAUUGCAAGAUGGUCAGUUGUAGAUGCAAAGGAAAGAGUACCGAAAGAUGCCGUCAUUCUCACGACCCGUGUCGUCAACCCCUGUUCCGGUGACAGAAUCACGCCAGCGGGAAACACUGAACCAGACUCCAAAGAAACUGUCGUGGGAAGAAUUGAAGAGGAAGCGAAGUCUGGGGUUGUGUUUUAGCUGCGAUGAGCGUUACAACCCGGGACACAAAUGUCGCAAGCUGCAGCUGCUACUCAUGGAGGGAGUCGACAAUACGGAUGAAGAAGACGCAGAAGAAGAUCAAGAGACAGAGGAACCGGAGAUCACCUACAGUAUCUUACCGGAUGUAAUUCCCCGAAAACCAUCCGUAUUCUCGUCGACAUCAACUGGCAUCAACUGGUGGCUCUGGUAGACAGCGGAGCAAUGCACAAUUUUAUAAGUGAUCGGGUUGCCAAUCGAUUGAAUCUGAGAAUCAAGCGGACCAAGCCCUUCAACGUCCGCGUGGCUGACGACCACCCACUCUGGUGCGGCGGCUGAUACAAGUGAUUUUUAUCGCUUUAAUCUCUUACAGUGUAAAUGAUCAAACAAAACCCUAAGUAUCGCCACCUACACGAUCGAUCAUAUUCCCCCUUUUGGUUAACCCUUUAAACCCAACGAGAAAACUACUCUAGCAUGGUUAAAGAGAUCAUCAAAGUAAGGUUUGAUAAACCCAUAAGAAAGAGAUGAAUAAGAACUGAAUAGGGUUUAGAGAUUACUUCUUUGAAUGUAGAAUACAAGAGGUAAGACUUCACCUUAAUAGAUCUUAGAGUAAACAAGAGAAAAGAGAGAGAUUUGGUGGACUUCAAGGCUUAGAACAAGGUAGAUGACGUCGGCUGCGCUUCUAGGGUUCUUCGUUGGCUUCUUGGUGAGUGCACACCUAGAGUUAGGGCUUCCAACAUGUAUUUAUAGGGUUUGGAGACCAAGGAUUAGGUUUAGGGGUAAAAGUGUCUUUUCCCGUGAUUAGGUUAAGUGCAAACUCGAGUUUCUGGACAAAGGUGAAGCCUUAGUGACUGGGGUGGAGAGUAGAAGGCAUCCCGGGCUCGGCCCAUGUGACCGGUGUGGCCUAGAAGCUCUUAAAACCUUCUUGACUUCAUAAAUACAUGAAUAAAAAUUUCUUGGCUCUGAAAUUACUCCAAAUUCUCCCUAAAACAUAAGAAAACAAUAGCAAAUAUGGGCGAAAAUCCCAUGUUACCAGCGGCGCUUACCGGAAGGUUCUCACAACGGUCGCCGGUGUGCCUUUUGCGAUCGACUUCUACGUCCUGCCUCUUUCAGGCCUUGAUGUGGUGUUGGUUAUUCAGUGGCUUGAAUAAAUUGGGCCUAUGAUGUGUGAUUGGAAGGCCUAGGUGCUACAAUUUACUUUGGCUGGGAAACAGGUGGUUUGCAGGUCCUGCAACCCAAGAAAAUCACAACGGCCCAACCUAAGGAGAUCACUAAAGAAGCAAAGAUGGACCUGGCCUGUUUUGCUCUAAGCUUGUCUGAGGAAAACGACGUCGUGCUACAGAUCCCAGAAACGAUGAAGCCACUGGUGAAUCGAUUUGACGAUGUCUUCGCGAACCCAACGCAACUACCACCGAAACGAGAAAUUGAACACCACAUCACGCUGAAGGAAGGGUCAGAUCCAGUGAACGUGAGACCAUACCAGUACGCUCACUUUCAGGAAGAAGAGAUACAGAAACAGGUUUAGGAGAUGUUAAAUUCACGGUUGAUCCGGCAGAGUUCAAGUCCUUUCUCGUCGCCGGUCCUACUAGUGAAAAAAGGAUGGCUCGUGGAGGUUCUACACUGACUAUAGAGCCUUGAAUUCAGUUUCCGUCAACGACCGGUUUCCCAUACCAACCAUUGAAGACAUGUUAGACGAGCUUCAUGGAGUCGUUGUUUUCACGAAACUCGAUCUAACGGCCGGGUAUCACCAGGUGCGAGUGCAUCCAACCGACAUCCCGAAGACUGCAUUUCGCACUCAUAACAGGCAUUAUGAGUACCUAAUAAUAUUGUUUGGGUUGUGCAAUGCGCCAUCGACGUUUUAGUCCUUGAUCAACUCUGUUUUCCGUAGCCACCUAUGCAAAUUUGUUCUCGUCUUUUCGAUGACAUCCUGGUGUAUAGCCGGACAGGCGAGGAACAUUUACAGCAUGUGGAGAUUGUGUUAGAGAUUCUGCGGGAACACAAGCUAUUCGUCAAAAUGAAGAAAUGCGAGUUCGGGAAGAACGAAGUGGAGUACAUGGGACAUAUUGGGUCAGGGGAAGGAGUGAAAGUCGACCAAGGUAAAAUCCAGCCAGUGAAAAGCUAGCCAACACCAACCACCACCGAGCUUCGGGGGUUCCUUGGUCUAACCGGGUACUUUCGAAAAUUUGUCAAAGAUUAUGGUCGUAUUGCCAAACCACUAACCAAUCUAUUGAAAAAGGCAAGUUUGAAUGGAACACUGCAGCAAAGACAUUGUUUGGGAUACUAAAGACGGCGAUGACGACUACACCAACCCUCGCAAUGCUAGAUUUUACCGCCCCAUUCAUUAUCCAAACGGACGCAUUGGGAGAGGGGAUCAGUGCGGUACUUACUGAUAGACUCCUAGAUGAGGAUCUACUCCCAAGAACACACUUUGUUGGUUUUGAACAUGAAGGAUGCAGCGGAAUGGAAGAAGAGCGAGAUCGUAGGUGGAAGAUGAACGGACAAACGGAUGAACGGUUGCAGCGGAUUGAAGGUGGAACGUUUUGUACUUCCAAGAGAGGUGGAAAUCUCUUAGACUACGAGCUUGAAUACAACUUAGAUAUUACACACUAAGAAGGAAACAAGUUGAGAAGAUAUUACGCACUUCUCGGAUCAAACAAGUAAAAGAGAGAUUUUUGAUAAAAUGUUUGAUAAGUUCUCAUAAGAGAAUACAUAGAGAAUAUAUAGAGGAGAAGGAGAGAAGAGAAUGUAGAGAGACAAGUCUUGGAACAAGCUCCAAGGCUGCCUAGAAACUUAACAAAAUAUUAAAGAUAGAAUUUGAAUAGAAAAGACCUUUUGGCUUCAAAGAUGACUCUUGAACUCCUAUUUUCGUCACUCCUCUUGGCCAGCAAAUUAAGCACUUGGUUUGGAGUCUUCUUGGACUUGUAAUGGCAAUAAAAUGGGCUGGACUUGAUAGCUAACACCUUGGAAGAUUUUCUGAAUAUUCUGGCCCGGUCUUGAUCAUCAAAUGGGUGAUUUGGAUGUGAAUCAUUUGCCUUAUUAAAAACCUUUCUUUGGAAAACCCAUUGGGAUAAAACCAAAGAUAAGGGAAAAAGAGUACAAAUGAGACACAUGCCCAUUUGUUGAUCAUGUAUCAAAACCAACGAGGUUAAGAUAACUUCUUUUGCGUUAUUUUCCUCAGCUACAAGCUGCUCCUUAGCUCCAUUUUCCUCAGCUACAAGCUGCUUCCUAGCUCCAAGCUUCUCAGGUUCAAGCAGCUCCAUAUCUCCAUUGUCCGAGCUAUCCAUGAUCACAUCACUUACACAAACAGGUAAACCCAUCGCCUUUAUGAGCCGCUCGCUAGGCGUGACAAAACAGAGCUGGUCAACUUAUACCCGGGAAAUGCUAGCUAUCGUGGUAGCUAUUCGUACUUGGCGGCCGUACUUGCUGGGAAGAACUUUACAAUUCUGACCGAUCAAUGCAGUUUUCAAUAUCUCUUGAACAACGCAUACUUACACCGGAACAGCAGAAAUGGAGUGCAAAACUGCUUGGGUACGACUAUGAGAUCACGUAUAGGCCAGGAACAGCAAAUGCUGCGGUUGAUGCGCUAUCCCGGUGGACUCGAGCCCAACUCUCAACGCCGUCUUGGUAUGGUAUUCUACAUUUUGGGACAAGCUGCGUCAAGCCACAGAUAUUGGUCCAUACCUACUCAAGCUUGGCAAGUUGGCUGACUCGUCUAAGCUGGCUGAUUCGUCUCCAGGACAACCAUAUGCUCGACGGAACAGGCUCAUCUGUUUCAACAAUAGGGUGAUCAUACCACCAGGGUCGUCUCUCAUUCCCAUGUUGUUGCAGGAGUACCAUAACACACCAAUGGGAGGGCACUCGGGAGUCUUGCGAACCUUUAAGCGCUUGGCUCACCUUUUCUAUUGGCCCUCGAUGCACCGCAUAGUCUGAGAUUAUGUUGCCGCAUGUGAGGUCUGCCAAAGCACCAAAUAUGAGAGUCUCGUGCCAGCUGGGUUACUGCAGCCCUUACCGGUUCCGGAUCAGAUUUGGGAAGAUGUUUCCAUGGACUUCGUAGACGGGCUACCCAGCUCAACAAGUAUACCUCUAUUCUCGUCGUUGUAGACCGACUCUCCAAGAUAGCGCACUUCAUUCCCUUGUCGCAUCCAUAUACUUCUAAGUCUGUCGCUGCUAAAUUCACUGACGAGAUAUGUGGAGGCUGUUUGGGACUCAACUCCGAAUGUCAUCCGCGUACCACCCUCAGACUGACGGGCAAACGGAAGUUGUUAACCGGAUCAUGGAGCAGUUUCUACGAUGUUUUGUAGCUGAUCGGCCUAAGCAAUGAAGCUAUCUCCUAUCGUGGACAGAGUAUUGGUACAACACCACGUACCAUUCUUCAACCGGUAUGUCUCCUUUCAAAGCUACUUAUGGUCGUGAUCCUCCUACACUUGUUAGGUAUGAGGCAGGGACUUCACCUAUUCGGGAGAUAGACGAGCAACUGGUUGAACGUGACGUGCUACUCCAAGAGCUGAAAAAUCACCUACACACUGCCAACAAUAAGAUGAAGCAAGCUGCUGACACCAAGCGCCGUGACAUUGCCUUUGACGUCGGGGAUUGGAUCUUUUUGAAGCUCCAACCGUACCGCCAGCAUACCAUCUUUCACCGCACUUCACAAAAACUCUCAACACGCUACGUUGGACUUUUUCCGAUAGAAGCUCGUGUCGAGCCAGUUUCAUAUCGAUUAAAGUUGCCAAAAGGUACUAAAGUCCACUCUGGUUUUCAUGUGUCUCUUCUCAAAAAGAGAGUGGGUUUGGAUACACCAACCUCGGGGACCCUACCACCUGUUCGUGCCAGCGGCUACCCCAGACUCACUCCGGACCGCAUACUUCAGACACGAACCAGUGAUCACGCCGGUGAACAGAUUGAAGAAGCUUUGGUCUUGUGGACGGGAUUAUCAGACGCUGAUGCUACAUGAGAGAUUCUUGAUCAGUUAAAGCAGAGUUUUCCUUCUUUGAACCUUGCGGACAAGGUUCUUUUCUAGGAGGGGUGUAAUGAUGAGAACACAGAACCUGACAUGGAACCAAAACGCAGAGCAUCAAACCAGACAAGAAUCCCAAACCGCAAGAACCAAGAGUAAACCGCAGUUGUUUGAUUUAAUUGUUUUCAUUUUGUUUUUCUUUGCUUCAGUUUGUUGAAUAAGGACUUGGUCUCCUAUCUUUGAGGAACCAUUUUCCAUUUUCCUUCAAGGUGGAGAUCGUGUGUGAUCUUACCACCACUUUGUAUUUCCCUUUUGCUAUUUAAUCAAAGAAAAAAAACAUAAACAAGAGGUAGUCUUAACUACCCAAAAAUCAUUGAUUUUGUUUGUUCUAAGGAGCAAAUUCUUUUAGCUUUGAAGAGGAACAAUUAUACAACGCUUGAUUUUGAGAUUUUGAUUUGAUAUUUUUAGGGUCUUUACUUUCUUCUUUGUAGAUACAUGUUUAGGAUUUGUAUCGAAAUUAGAAUUUACUACAUGAAACUGCAAUCUGUUUUCCAAUUCGAAUUUGUUGGCUUGUUAUGUUGUAGAUCUAAUUUCUUUUCUAUAUCAUGUAGGAGCUUUACGUGUUCAGAGAUUGAAAGAUAUAUUUUGAAACUUUGAUUCUUCAAUUUAUUGAUUAAAAAAUUUGUCAAUUAUAAAAUUGGGUGAGAAAGUGAGAUUCAACAAUUAUGAACAAGACAACAUCAAAUGCUUAAAGAAAAUUACAGUGAGGAGAGAACAUAGAGUUUUGUGAAGAAGACAGAGUUAUAUAUAUAUAUAUAUAUAUAAGAAGGAAAAAAAACGAGUCCGCGUCACUUAUGCCACUAUGUGGGAAAAAUUAAUCUGGCGUGCCAUCUUAUAAUCUGAAUGCCACUAUAAAUGUGAUAUUCCCAAAUUACCCUUAAUGAAAUUUCGGAUAAAAUUGUACGUAAUGGUACAACUAGGUACAACUAAAAAAUAAUAAUACAACUAGUACAAAUAAGAGAUUAUAGGAUAAUUGGUCCAAAUGGUACAACUGAAUGAUAAUUAGUACAAUUGGUACAAAUGGUAUAACUAUAUAUAAAUAAGAACAAUUGGUACAAAUGGUACAACUGAAACAUAAUAGUACAACUAAAACAAAUGGUACAACUGACAUAUGAAUAGAGACAACUAGUACAACUACAAUUGAAAGAAAUAGUACAACUGAGAUAUAAAUAGGUACAACUAGUACAAAUGGUAGUAUUGAAACCCUAUCGCCACCAUACUAUUUCGUUUCUUCUUGCUUUGUUCACUACCGCCGUCAUUAUCGCCGAUUCUCUGCUGUCACCUUUCAUUGCCGUCGUCACUGAUUCUCCAACGAAAUCCUAGAUCUGUCACUCUUCUUUAUCGUCGUCGCCAAUCUCUGCUGUUCACUGUCGCCGAUUCUCCGACGAAACCCUAGAUCUGUAUCGAGAUUAUCGUUAGAUCUCUGAAAGAGAAAAGAGAUCUAGGUUUUGUUGAGAAAAUAGAAAAGAAAAUCGAAAAUAAGAGAAGAGAAAUCAAUGGAGAGAAAGAGAUUUAGGGUUUCGUUGGAUCAAUGGGAGAGAAGAGAAAUCCAUAGAGAAUAAGAAGAGAAAGAAGAGAUGAAGAGAAGAAGAGAGAUCCAUGGAAAAAAUUCAGAGGAAGAAGAAACGUGAAAUAAGAAAAGAGAAAGAGGCUGUUGUUUUUGUUGUUGAAUUAAUGAAAGAAUGGCAAGGAUACGUAAUAUUAGAAUAAUUAGGGUAAGGGUUUUUAGACUUUUCUUAUUAGUUUUGAUUUAAAAAUAUAUAAAAAAAUAAAAUGAAAAAUAGGAGAGGGCAUAAACGAUUAAAAUUCCUGAGAAAGUGGCAUUAGUGACA
rnacentral:lncRNA from 1 species